UGGUCCGAAAAAAAACGACAUAGUAUACUAUGUCGAAAAUUUCAGAUUUUAGGCUGGAAAAUAAAAUUCAAAUUUUAAGAUGAAAAAACAUGCCAUAAUAUUGUCUGAUCAAAUUGCCAUAGAAUAGGAUGUUAAAAAUGUGGUAUUUUAGCGGGAAAAUGAAAAAUUCAUAUUUUGGUCCGAAAAAAAACGACAUAGUAUAUACUAUGUCGAAAAUUUCAGAUUUUAGGCUGAAAAAAAAAUUCUAAUUUUAGGAUGAAAAAACAUGCCAUAGUAUUGUCUGAUCAAAUUGCCAUAGAAUAGGAUGUUAAAAAUAUUAUAUUUUAGCGGGAAAAUGAAAAAUUCAUAUUUUGGUCCGAAAAAAAACGACAUAGUAUACUAUGUCGAAAAUAUCAGAUUUUAGAGUGAAAAUAAAAUUCAGAUUUUAGGAUGAAAAAACAUGCCAUAGUAUUGUCUGAUCAAAUUGCCAUAGAAGGGGAUGUUAAAAAUGUAGUAUUUUAGCGGAAAAAUGAAAAAUUAAUAUUUUGGUCCGAAAAAAAAGAGACAUAGUAUACUAUGUCGUUUUUUUUGCUGACCAAAAUAUGAAUUUUUCGUUUUCCGGCUAAAAUAUUACAUUUUUAACAUCCGUUUCUAUGGCAAUGUGAUCAGACAAUACUAUGGCAUGUUUUUUCAUCCUAAAAUCUGAAUUUUAUUUUCAGCCUAAAAUCUGAAAUUUUCGACAUAGUAUACUAUGUCGUUUUUUUUCGGACCAAAAUAUGAAUUUUUCAUUUUCCAGCUAAAAUAUUACAGUUUUUAACAUCCGUUUCUAUGGCAAUUUGAUCAGACAAUACUAUGGCAUGUUUUUUCAUCCUAAAAUCUGAAUUUUAUUUUCAGCCUAAAAUCUGAAAUUUUCGACAUAGUAUACUAUGUCGUUUUUUUCGGACCAAAAUAUGAAUUUUUCAUUUUCCGGCUAAAAUAUUACAUUUUUAACAUCCGUUUCUAUGGCAAUUUGAUCAGACAAUACUAUGGCAUGUUUUUUCAUCCUAAAAUCAGAAUUUUAUUUUCAGCCUAAAAUCUGAAAUUUUCGACAUAGUAUACUAUGUCAUUUUUUUUUCGGACCAAAAUAUGAAUUUUUCAUUUUCCGGCUAAAAUAUUACAGUUUUAACAUCCGUUUCUAUGGCAAUUUGAUCAGACAAUACUAUGGCAUGUUUUUUCAUCCUAAAAUCAGAAUUUUAUUUUCAGCCUAAAAUCUGAAAUUUUCGACAUAGUAUACUAUGUCGUUUUUUUUCGGACCAAAAUAUGAAUUUUUCAUUUUCCGGCUAAAAUAUUACAUUUUUAACAUCCGUUUCUAUGGCAAUUUGAUCAGACAAUACUAUGGCAUGUUUUUUCAUCCUAAAAUCUGAAUUUUAUUUUCAGCCUAAAAUCUGAAAUUUUCGACAUAGUAUACUAUGUCAUUUUUUUUUCGGACCAAAAUAUGAAUUUUUCGUUUUCCGUCUAAAAUAUUACAUUUUUAACAUUCGUUUCUAUGGCAAUUUGAUCAGACAAUACUAUGGCAUGUUUUUUCAUCCUAAAAUCAGAAUUUUAUUUUCAGCCUAAAAUCUGAAAUUUUCGACAUAGUAUACUAUGUCGUUUCUUUUUCGGACCAAAAUAUGAAUUUUUCAUUUUCCAGCUAAAAUAUUACAUUUUUAACAUCCGUUUCUAUGGCAAUUUGAUCAGACAAUACUAUGGCAUGUUUUUUCAUCCUAAAAUCAGAAUUUUAUUUUCAGCCUAAAAUCUGAAAUUUUCGACAUAGUAUACUAUGUCGUUUUUUUUCGGACCAAAAUAUGAAUUUUUCGUUUUCCGGCUAAAAUAUUACAUUUUUAACAUCCGUUUCUAUGGCAAUGUGAUCAGACAAUACUAUGGCAUGUUUUUUCAUCCUAAAAUCAGAAUUUUAUUUUCAGCCUAAAAUCUGAAAUUUUCGACAUAGUAUACUAUGUCGUUUUUUUUCGGACCAAAAUAUGAAUUUUUCAUUUUCCGGCUAAAAUAUUACAUUUUUAACAUCCGUUUCUAUGGCAAUUUGAUCAGACAAUACUAUGGCAUGUUUUUUCAUCCUAAAAUCUGAAUUUUAUUUUCAGCCUAAAAUCUGAAAUUUUCGACAUAGUAUACUAUGUCGUUUUUUUUCGGACCAAAAUAUGAAUUUUUAGUUUUCCGGCUAAAAUAUUAAAUUUUUAACAUCCGUUUCUAUGGCAAUUUUAUCAGACAAUACUAUGGCAUGUUUUUUCAUCCUAAAAUCUGAAUUUUAUUUUCAGCCUAAAAUCUGAAAUUUUCGACAUAGUAUACUAUGUCGUUUCUUUUUCGGACCAAAAUAUGAAUUUUUCGUUUUCCAGCUAAAAUAUUACAUUUUUAACAUCCGUUUCUAUGGCAAUGUGAUCAGACAAUACUAUGGCAUGUUUUUUCAUCCUAAAAUCUGAAUUUUAUUUUCAGCCUAAAAUCUGAAAUUUUCGACAUAGUAUACUAUGUCGGUUUUUUUUCGGACCAAAAUAUGAAUUUUUCAUUUUCCGGCUAAAAUAUUACAUUUUUAACAUCCGUUUCUAUGGCAAUUUGAUCAGACAAUACUAUGGCAUGUUUUUUCAUCCUAAAAUCUGAAUUUUAUUUUCAGCCUAAAAUCUGAAAUUUUCGACAUAGUAUACUAUGUCGUUUUUUUUCGGACCAAAAUAUGAAUUUUUCUUUUUACGGCUAAAAUAUUAAAUUUUUAACAUCCGUUUCUAUGGCAAUUUUAUCAGACAAUACUAUGGCAUGUUUUUUCAUCCUAAAAUCUGAAUUUUAUUUUCAGCCUAAAAUCUGAAAUUUUCGACAUAGUAUACUAUGUCGUUUUUUUUCGGACCAAAAUAUGAAUUUUUCAUUUUCCGGCUAAAAUAUUACAGUUUUAACAUCCGUUUCUAUGGCAAUGUGAUCAGACAAUACUAUGGCAUGUUUUUUCAUCCUAAAAUCUGAAUUUUAUUUUCAGCCUAAAAUCUGAAAUUUUCGACAUAGUAUACUGUCGUUUUUUUUCGGACCAAAAUAUGAAUUUUUCAUUUUCCAGCUAAAAUAUUACAGUUUUAACAUCCGUUUCUAUGGCAAUUUGAUCAGACAAUACUAUGGCAUGUUUUUUCAUCCUAAAAUCUGAAUUUUAUUUUCAGCCUAAAAUCUGAAAUUUUCGACAUAGUAUAUAUACUAUGUCGUUUUUUUUUCAGACCAAAAUAUGAAUUUUUCAUUUUCCAGCUAAAAUAUUACAUUUUUAACAUCCGUUUCUAUGGCAAUUUGAUCAGACAAUACUAUGGCAUGUUUUUUCAUCCUAAAAUCAGAAUGUUAUUUUCAGCCUAAAAUCUGAAAUUUUCGACAUAGUAUACUAUGUCAUUUUUUUUUCGGACCAAAAUAUGAAUUUUCAUUUUCCGGCUAAAAUAUUACAGUUUUAACAUCCGUUUCUAUGGCAAUUUGAUCAGACAAUACUAUGGCAUGUCUAUUCAUCCUAAAAUCAGAAUGUUAUUUUCAGCCUAAAAUCUGAAAUUUUCGACAUAGUAUACUAUGUCGUUUUUUUUCGGACCAAAAUAUGAAUUUUUCGUUUUCCGGCUAAAAUAUUACAGUUUUAACAUCCGUUUCUAUGGCAAUGUGAUCAGACAAUACUAUGGCAUGUUUUUUCAUCCUAAAAUCUGAAUUUUAUUUUCAGCCUAAAAUCUGAAAUUUUCGACAUAGUAUACUGUCGUUUUUUUUCGGACCAAAAUAUGAAUUUUUUAUUUUCCAGCUAAAAUAUUACAGUUUUAACAUCCGUUUCUAUGGCAAGUUGAUCAGACAAUACUAUGGCAUGUUUUUUCAACCUAAAAUCUGAAUUUUAUUUUCAGCCUAAAAUCUGAAAUUUUCGACAUAGUAUACUAUGUCGUUUUUUUUCAGACCAAAAUAUGAAUUUUUCAUUUUCCGGCUAAAAUAUUACAUUUUUAACAUCCGUUUCUAUGGCAAUUUGAUCAGACAAUACUAUGGCAUGUUUUUUCAUCCUAAAAUCUGAAUUUUAUUUUCAGCCUAAAAUCUGAAAUUUUCGACAUAGUAUACUAUGUCGGUUUUUUUUCGGACCAAAAUAUGAAUUUUUCGUUUUCCGGCUAAAAUAUUACAGUUUUAACAUCCGUUUCUAUGGCAAUGUGAUCAGACAAUACUAUGGCAUGUUUUUUCAUCCUAAAAUCAGAAUUUUAUUUUCAGCCUAAAAUCUGAAAUUUUCGACAUAGUAUACUAUGUCGGUUUUUUUUCGUACCAAAAUACGAAUUUUUCGUUUUCCGGCUAAAAUAUUACAUUUUUAACAUCCGUUUCUAUGGCAAUUUGAUCAGACAAUACUAUGGCAUGUUUUUUCAUCCUAAAAUCUGAAUUUUAUUUUCAGCCUAAAAUCUGAAAUUUUCGACAUAGUAUACUAUGUCGUUUUUUUUCGGACCAAAAUAUGAAUUUUUCGUUUUCCGGCUAAAAUAUUAAAUUUUUAACAUCCGUUUCUAUGGCAAUUUUAUCAGACAAUACUAUGGCAUGUUUUUUCAUCCUAAAAUCUGAAUUUUAUUUUCAGCCUAAAAUCUGAAAUUUUCGACAUAGUAUACUAUGUCGUUUUUUUUCGGACCAAAAUAUGAAUUUUUCAUUUUCCGGCUAAAAUAUUACAGUUUUAACAUCCGUUUCUAUGGCAAUGUGAUCAGACAAUACUAUGGCAUGUUUUUUCAUCCUAAAAUCUGAAUUUUAUUUUCAGCCUAAAAUCUGAAAUUUUCGACAUAGUAUACUGUCGUUUUUUUUCGGACCAAAAUAUGAAUUUUUCAUUUUCCAGCUAAAAUAUUACAGUUUUAACAUCCGUUUCUAUGGCAAUUUGAUCAGACAAUACUAUGGCAUGUUUUUUCAUCCUAAAAUCUGAAUUUUAUUUUCAGCCUAAAAUCUGAAAUUUUCGACAUAGUAUACUAUGUCGUUUUUUUUUCGGACCAAAAUAUGAAUUUUUCAUUUUCCAGCUAAAAUAUUACAUUUUUAACAUCCGUUUCUAUGGCAAUGUGAUCAGACAAUACUAUGGCAUGUUUUUUCAUCCUAAAAUCAGAAUGUUAUUUUCAGCCUAAAAUCUGAAAUUUUCGACAUAGUAUACUAUGUCAUUUUUUUUUCGGACCAAAAUAUGAAUUUUCAUUUUCCGGCUAAAAUAUUACAGUUUUAACAUCCGUUUCUAUGGCAAUUUGAUCAGACAAUACUAUGGCAUGUCUAUUCAUCCUAAAAUCAGAAUGUUAUUUUCAGCCUAAAAUCUGAAAUUUUCGACAUAGUAUACUAUGUCGUUUUUUUUCGGACCAAAAUAUGAAUUUUUCGUUUUCCGGCUAAAAUAUUACAGUUUUAACAUCCGUUUCUAUGGCAAUGUGAUCAGACAAUACUAUGGCAUGUUUUUUCAUCCUAAAAUCUGAAUUUUAUUUUCAGCCUAAAAUCUGAAAUUUUCGACAUAGUAUACUGUCGUUUUUUUUAAGACCAAAAUAUGAAUUUUUAAUUUUCCAGCUAAAAUAUUACAGUUUUAACAUCCGUUUCUAUGGCAAUUUGAUCAUACAAUACUAUGGCAUGUUUUUUCAUCCUAAAAUCUGAAUUUUAUUUUCAGCCUAAAAUCUGAAAUUUUCGACAUAGUAUACUGUCGUUUUUUUUCAGACCAAAAUAUGAAUUUUUCAUUUUCCGGCUAAAAUAUUACAUUUUUAACAUCCGUUUCUAUGGCAAUUUGAUCAGACAAUACUAUGGCAUGUUUUUUCAUCCUAAAAUCUGAAUUUUAUUUUCAGCCUAAAAUCUGAAAUUUUCGACAUAGUAUACUAUGUCGGUUUUUUUUCGGACCAAAAUAUGAAUUUUUCGUUUUCCGGCUAAAAUAUUACAGUUUUAACAUCCGUUUCUAUGGCAAUGUGAUCAGACAAUACUAUGGCAUGUUUUUUCAUCCUAAAAUCAGAAUUUUAUUUUCAGCCUAAAAUCUGAAAUUUUCGACAUAGUAUACUAUGUCGUUUUUUUUCAGACCAAAAUAUGAAUUUUUCAUUUUCCGGCUAAAAUAUUACAUUUUUAACAUCCGUUUCUAUGGCAAUUUGAUCAGACAAUACUAUGGCAUGUUUUUUCAUCCUAAAAUCUGAAUUUUAUUUUCAGCCUAAAAUCUGAAAUUUUCGACAUAGUAUACUAUGUCGGUUUUUUUUUGGACCAAAAUAUGAAUUUUUCGUUUUCCGGCUAAAAUAUUACAGUUUUAACAUCCGUUUCUAUGGCAAUGUGAUCAGACAAUACUAUGGCAUGUUUUUUCAUCCUAAAAUCAGAAUUUUAUUUUCAGCCUAAAAUCUGAAAUUUUCGACAUAGUAUACUAUGUCGUUUUUUUUCGGACCAAAAUAUGAAUUUUUCAUUUUCCGGCUAAAAUAUUACAUUUUUAACAUCCGUUUCUAUGGCAAUUUGAUCAGACAAUACUAUGGCAUGUUUUUUCAUCCUAAAAUCUGAAUUUUAUUUUCAGCCUAAAAUCUGAAAUUUUCGACAUAGUAUACUAUGUCGUUUUUUUUCGGACCAAAAUAUGAAUUUUUCAUUUUCCGGCUAAAAUAUUACAUUUUUAACAUCCGUUUCUAUGGCAAUUUGAUCAGACAAUACUAUGGCAUGUUUUUUCAUCCUAAAAUCUGAAUUUUAUUUUCAGCCUAAAAUCUGAAAUUUUCGACAUAGUAUACUAUGUCGUUUUUUUUCGGACCAAAAUAUGAAUUUUUCAUUUUACGGCUAAAAUAUUACAGUUUUAACAUCCGUUUCUAUGGCAAUGUGAUCAGACAAUACUAUGGCAUGUUUUUUCAUCCUAAAAUCUGAAUUUUAUUUUCAGCCUAAAAUCUGAAAUUUUCGACAUAGUAUACUGUCGUUUUUUUUCGGACCAAAAUAUGAAUUUUUCAUUUUCCAGCUAAAAUAUUACAGUUUUAACAUCCGUUUCUAUGGCAAUUUGAUCAGACAAUACUAUGGCAUGUUUUUUCAUCCUAAAAUCUGAAUUUUAUUUUCAGCCUAAAAUCUGAAAUUUUCGACAUAGUAUACUAUGUCGUUUUUUUUUCAGACCAAAAUAUGAAUUUUUCAUUUUCCAGCUAAAAUAUUACAUUUUUAACAUCCGUUUCUAUGGCAAUUUGAUCAGACAAUACUAUGGCAUGUUUUUUCAUCCUAAAAUCAGAAUGUUAUUUUCAGCCUAAAAUCUGAAAUUUUCGACAUAGUAUACUAUGUCAUUUUUUUUUCGGACCAAAAUAUGAAUUUUCAUUUUCCGGCUAAAAUAUUACAGUUUUAACAUCCGUUUCUAUGGCAAUUUGAUCAGACAAUACUAUGGCAUGUCUAUUCAUCCUAAAAUCAGAAUGUUAUUUUCAGCCUAAAAUCUGAAAUUUUCGACAUAGUAUACUAUGUCGUGUUUUUUUUCGGACCAAAAUAUGAAUUUUUCAUUUUCCGGCUAAAAUAUUACAGUUUUAACAUCCGUUUCUAUGGCAAUUGAUCAGACAAUACUAUGGCAUGUUUUUUCAUCCUAAAAUCUGAAUUUUAUUUUCAGCCUAAAAUCUGAAAUUUUCGACAUAGUAUACUAUGUCGUUUUUUUUCGGACCAAAAUAUGAAUUUUUCAUUUUCCAGCUAAAAUAUUACAUUUUUAACAUCCGUUUCUAUGGCAAGUUGAUCAGACAAUACUAUGGCAUGUUUUUUCAACCUAAAAUCUGAAUUUUAUUUUCAGCCUAAAAUCUGAAAUUUUCGACAUAGUAUACUAUGUCGUUUUUUUUCGGACCAAAAUAUGAAUUUUUCAUUUUCCGGCUAAAAUAUUACAUUUUUAACAUCCGUUUCUAUGGCAAUUUGAUCAGACAAUACUAUGGCAUGUUUUUUCAUCCUAAAAUCUGAAUUUUAUUUUCAGCCUAAAAUCUGAAAUUUUCGACAUAGUAUACUAUGUCGGUUUUUUUUCGGACCAAAAUAUGAAUUUUUCGUUUUCCGGCUAAAAUAUUACAGUUUUAACAUCCGUUUCUAUGGCAAUGUGAUCAGACAAUACUAUGGCAUGUUUUUUCAUCCUAAAAUCAGAAUUUUAUUUUCAGCCUAAAAUCUGAAAUUUUCGACAUAGUAUACUAUGUCAUUUCUUUUUUGGACCAAAAUAUGAAUUUUUCAUUUUCCGGCUAAAAUAUUACAGUUUUAACAUCCGUUUCUAUGGCAAUUUGAUCAGACAAUACUAUGGCAUGUUUUUUCAUCCUAAAAUCAGAAUUUUAUUUUCAGCCUAAAAUCUGAAAUUUUCGACAUAGUAUACUAUGUCGUUUUUUUUUCGGACCAAAAUAUGAAUUUUUCAUUUUCCGGCUAAAAUAUUACAGUUUUAACAUCUGUUUCAAUGGCAAUUUGAUCAUAAAAUACUAUGGCAUGUUUUUUCAUCCUAAAAUCUGAAUUUUAUUUUCAGCCUAAAAUCUGAAAUUUUCGACAUAGUUUACUAUGUCGAUUUUUUUCGGACCAAAAUAUGAAUUUUUCAUUUUCCAGCUAAAAUAUUACAUUUUUAACAUCCGUUUCUAUGGCAAUGUGAUCAGACAAUACUAUGGCAUGUUUUUUCAUCCUAAAAUCUGAAUUUUAUUUUCAGCCUAAAAUCUGAAAUUUUCGACAUAGUAUACUAUGUCGUUUUUUUUCCGACCAAAAUAUGAAUUUUUCGUUUUCCGGCUAAAAUAUUACAUUUUUAACAUCCGUUUCUAUGGCAAUUUGAUCAGACAAUACUAUGGCAUGUUUUUUCAUCCUAAAAUCAGAAUUUUAUUUUCAGCCUAAAAUCUGAAAUUUUCGACAUAGUAUACUAUGUCGUUUUUUUUUCGGACGAAAAUAUGAAUUUUUCAUUUUCCGGCUAAAAUAUUACAGUUUUAACAUCCGUCUCUAUGGCAAUUUGAUCAGACAAUACUAUGGCAUGUUUUUUCAUCCUAAAAUCAGAAUUUUAUUUUCAGCCUAAAAUCUGAAAUUUUCGACAUAGUAUACUAUGUUGUUUUUUUUUUCGGACCAAAAUAUGAAUUUUAUUAUUUUCCGGCUAAAAUAUUACAGUUUUAACAUCCGUUUCUAUGGCAAUUUGAUCAGACAAUACUAUGGCAUGUUUUUUCAUCCUAAAAUCUGAAUUUUAUUUUCAGCCUAAAAUCUGAAAUUUUCGACAUAGUAUACUAUGUCGUUUUUUUUUCGGACCAAAAUAUGAAUUUUUCAUUUUCCGGCUAAAAUAUUACAGUUUUAACAUCCGUUUCUAUGGCAAUUUGAUCAGACAAUACUAUGGCAUGUUUUUUCAUCCUAAAAUAGGAAUUUUAUUUUCAGCCUAAAAUCUGAAAUUUUCGACAUAGUAUACUAUGUCUUUUUUUUUCGGACCAAAAUAUGAAUUUUUCGUUUUCCGGCUAAAAUAUUAAAUUUUUAACAUCCGUUUCUAUGGCAAUUUGAUCAGACAAUACUAUGGCAUGUUUUUUCAUCCUAAAAUCUGAAUUUUAUUUUCAGCCUAAAAUCUGAAAUUUUCGACAUAGUAUACUGUGUGGGGUUUUUUUUCGGACCAAAAUAUGAAUUUUUCAUUUUCCGGCUAAAAUAUUACAGUUUUAACAUCCGUUUCUAUGGCAAUUUGAUCAGACAAUACUAUGGCAUGUUUUUUCAUCCUAAAAUCAGAAUUUUAUUUUCAGCCUAAAAUCUGAAAUUUUCGACAUUUUUUCGGACCAAAAUAUGAAUUUUUCAUUAUCAGCUAAAAUAUUACAUUUUUAACAUCCGUUUCUAUGGCAAUUUGAUCAGACAAUACUAUGGCAUGUUUUUUGAUCCUAAAAUCUGAAUUUUAUUUUCAGCCUAAAAUCUGAAAUUUUCCACAUAGUAUACUAUGUCGUUUUUUUUCAGACCAAAAUAUGAAUUUUUCGUUUUCCGGCUAAAAUAUUACAUUUUUAACAUCCGUUUCUAUGGCAAUGUGAUCAGACAAUACAAUGGCAUGUUUUUUAAUCCUAAAAUCAGAAUUUUAUUUUCAGCCUAAAAUCUGAAAUUUUCGACAUAGUAUACUAUGUCGUUUUUUUUCGGACCAAAAUAUGAAUUUUUCAUUUUCCGGCUAAAAUAUUACAGUUUUAACAUCCGUUUCUAUGGCAAUUUGAUCAGACAAUACUAUGGCAUGUUUCUUCAUCCUAAAAUCAGAAUUUUAUUUUCUGCCUAAAAUCUGAAAUUUUCGACAUAGUAUACUAUGUCGUUUUUUUUCGGACCAAAAUAUGAAUUUUUCGUUUUCCGGCUAAAAUAUUACAUUUUUAACAUCCGUUUCUAUGGCAAUGUGAUCAGACAAUACUAUGGCAUGUUUUUUCAUCCUAAAAUCUGAAAUUUAUUUUCAUUCUAAAAUCUGAAAUUUUCAAGAUAGUAUACUAUGUCGUUUUUUUUCAGACCAAAAUAUGAAUUUUUCGUUUUCCAGCUAAAAUAUUACAGUUUUAACAUCCGUUUCUAUGGCAAUUUGAUCAGACAAUACUAUGGCAUGUUUUUUCAUCCUAAAAUCAGAAUUUUAUUUUCAGCCUAAAAUCUGAAAUUUUCGACAUAGUAUACUAUGUCGUUUUUUUUGCGGACCAAAAUAUGAAUUUUUCAUUUUCCGGCUAAAAUAUUACAGUUUUAACAUCCGUUUCUAUGGCAAUUUGAUCAGACAAUACUAUGGCAUGUUUCUUCAUCCUAAAAUCAGAAUUUUAUUUUCUGCCUAAAAUCUGAAAUUUUCGACAUAGUAUACUAUGUCGUUUUUUUUCGGACCAAAAUAUGAAUUUUUCGUUUUCCGGCUAAAAUAUUACAUUUUUAACAUCCGUUUCUAUGGCAAUGUGAUCAGACAAUACUAUGGCAUGUUUUUUCAUCCUGAAAUCAGAAUUUUAUUUUCAGCCUAAAAUCUGAAAUUUUCGACAUAGUAUACUGUCGUUUUUUUUUCGGAUCAAAAUAUGAAUUUUUCAUUUUCAGGCUAAAAUAUUACAGUUUUAACAUCUGUUUCUAUGGCAAUUUGAUCAGACAAUACUAUGGCAUGUUUUUUCAUCCUAAAAUCUGAAUUUUAUUUUCAGCCUAAAAUCUGAAAUUUUCGACAUAGUAUACUAUGUCGUUUUUUUUUUGGACAAAAAUAUGAAUUUUUUCAUUUUCCGGCAAAAAUAUUACAUUUUUAACAUCCGUUUCUAUGGCAAUGUGAUCAGACAAUACUAUGGCAUGUUUUUUCAUCCUAAAAUCUGAAUUUUAUUUUCAGCCUAAAAUCUGAAAAUUUCGACAUAGUAUACUGUCGUUUUUUUUGCGGACCAAAAUAUGAAUUUUUCAUUUUCCGGCUUAAAUAUUACAUUUUUAACAUCCGUUUCUAUGGCAAUUUGAUCAGACAAUACUAUGGCAUGUUUUUUCAUCCCUAAAAUCUGAAUUUUAUUUUCAGCCUAAAAUCUGAAAUUUUCGACAUAGUAUACUAUGUCGUUUUUUUUCGGACCAAAAUAUGAAUUUUUCAUUUUCCGGCUAAAAUAUUACAGUUUUAACAUCCCUUUCUAUGGCAAUUUGAUCAGACAAUACUAUGGCAUGUUUUUUCAUCCUAAAAUCAGAAUUUUAUUUUCAGCCUAAAAUCUGAAAUUUUCGACAUAGUAUACUAUGUCGUUUUUUUUCGGACCAAAAUAUGAAUUUUUCGUUUUCCGGCUAAAAUAUUACAGUUUUAACAUCCGUUUCUAUGGCAAUUUGAUCAGACAAUACUAUGGCAUGUUUUCUCAUCCUAAAAUCUGAAUUUUAUUUUCAGCCUAAAAUCUGAAAUUUUCGACAUAGUAUACUAUGUCGUUUUUUUUCGGACCAAAAUAUGAAUUUUUCAUUUUCCGGCUAAAACAUUACAUUUUUAACAUCUGUUUCAAUGGCAAUUUGAUCAGACAAUACUAUGGCAUGUUUUUUCAUCCUAAAAUCAGAAUUUUAUUUUAAGCCUAAAAUCUGAAAUUUUCGACAUAGUAUAUACUUUGUCGUUUUUUUUCGGACCCAAAUAUGAAUUUUUCAUUUUCCAGCUAAAAUAUUACAUUUUUAACAUCCGUUUCUAUGGCAAUUUGAUCAGACAAUACUAUGGCAUGUUUUUUCAUCCUAAAAUCAGAAUUUUAUUUUCAGCCUAAAAUCUGAAAUUUUCGACAUAGUAUAUACUAUGUCGUUUUUUUUCGUACCAAAAUAUGAAUUUUUCAUUUUCCAGCUAAAAUAUUACAUUUUUAACAUCCAUUUCUAUGGCAAUGUGAUCAGACAAUACUAUGGCAUGUUUUUUCAUCCUAAAAUCUGAAUUUUAUUUUCAGCCUAAAAUCUGAAAUUUUCGACAUCGUAUACUAUGUCGUUUUUUUUCGGACCAAAAUAUGAAUUUUUCAUUUUCCAGCUAAAAUAUUACAUUUUUAACAUCCGUUUCUAUGGCAAUGUGAUCAGACAAUACUAUGGCAUGUUUUUUCAUCCUAAAAUCUGAAUUUUAUUUUCAGCCUAAAAUCUGAAAUUUUCGACAUAGUAUACUAUGUCGUUUUUUUUUCGGACCAAAAUAUGAAUUUUUCAUUUUCCGUCUAAAAUAUUACAGUUUUAACAUCCGUUUCUAUGGCAAUUUGAUCAGACAAUACUAUGGCAUGUUUUUUCAUCCUAAAAUCUGAAUUUUAUUUUCAGCCUAAAAUCUGAAAUUUUCGACAUAGUAUACUAUGUCGUUUUUUUUUCGGACCAAAAUAUGAAUUUUUCAUUAUCAGCUAAAAUAUUACAUUUUUAACAUCCGUUUCUAUGGCAAUUUGAUCAGACAAUACUAUGGCAUGUUUUUUGAUCCUAAAAUCUGAAUUUAAUUUUCAGCCUGAAAUCUGAAAUUUUCGACAUAGUAUACUAUGUCAUUUUUUUUCGGACCAAAAUAUGAAUUUUUCGUUUUCUGGCUAAAAUAUUACAUUUUUAACAUCCGUUUCUAUGGCAAUGUGAUCAGACAAUACGAUGGCAUGUUUUUUCAUCCUAAAAUCUGAAAUUUAUUUUCAUUCUAAAAUCUGAAAUUUUCAAGAUAGUAUACUAUGUCGUUUUUUUUCGGACCAAAAUAUGAAUUUUUCAUUUUCCAGCUAAAAUAUUACAGUUUUAACAUCUGUUUCUAUGGCAAUUUGAUCAGACAAUACUAUGGCAUGUUUUUUGAUCCUAAAAUCUGAAUUUUAUUUUCAGCCUAAAAUCUGAAAUUUUCGACAUAGUAUACUAUGUCGUUUUUUUUCGGACCAAAAUAUGAAUUUUUCGUUUUCCGGCUAAAAUAUUACAUUUUUAACAUCCGUUUCUAUGGCAAUUUGAUCAGACAAUACUAUGGCAUGUUUUUUCAUCCUAAAAUCUGAAUUUUAUUUUCAGCCUAAAAUCUGAAAUUUUCGACAUUAUGUGGUUUUUUUUCGGACCAAAAUAUGAAUUUUUCGUUUUCCGGCUAAAAUAUUACAUUUUUAACAUCCGUUUCUAUGGCAAUGUGAUCAGACAAUACUAUGGCAUGUUUUUUCAUCCUAAAAUCUGAAUUGUAUUUUCAGCCUAAAAUCUGAAAUUUUCGACAUAGUAUACUAUGUCGUUUUUUUUUGGACCAAAAUAUGAAUUUUUCGUUUUCUGGCUAAAAUAUUACAUUUUUAACAUCCGUUUCUAUGGCAAUGUGAUCAGACAAUACUAUGGCAUGUUUUUUCAUCCUAAAAUCUGAAAUUUAUUUUCAUUCUAAAAUCUGAAAUUUUCAAGAUAGUAUACUAUGUCGUUUUUUUUCGGACCAAAAUAUGAAUUUUUCAUUUUCCAGCUAAAAUAUUACAGUUUUAACAUCCGUUUCUAUGGCAAUUUGAUCAGACAAUACUAUGGCAUGUUUUUUCAGCCUAAAAUCUGAAAUUUUCGACAUAGUAUACUAAGUCGUUUUUUUUUCGGACCAAAAUAUGAAUUUUUCGUUUUCCGGCUAAAAUAUUACAUUUUUAACAUCCGUUUCUAUGGCAAUGUGAUCAGACAAUACUAUGGCAUGUUUUUUCAUCCUAAAAUCAGAAUUUUAUUUUCAGCCUAAAAUCUGAAAUUUUCGACAUAGUAUACUAUGUCGUUUUUUUUUCGGACCAAAAUAUGAAUUUUUCAUUAUCAGCUAAAAUAUUACAUUUUUAACAUCCGUUUCUAUGGCAAUUUGAUCAGACAAUACUAUGGCAUGUUUUUGAUCCUAAAAUCUGAAUUUUAUUUUCAGCCUAAAAUCUGAAAUUUUCGACAUAGUAUACUAUGUCGUUUUUUUUCGGACCAAAAUAUGAAUUUUUUGUUUUCCGGCUAAAAUAUUACAUUUUUAAUAUCUGUUUCUAUGGCAAUGUGAUCAGACAAUACUAUGGCAUGUUUUUUCAUCCUAAAAUCAGAAUUUUAUUUUCAGCCUAAAAUCUGAAAUUUUCGACAUAGUAUACUAUGUCGGUUUUUUUUCGGACCAAAAUAUGAAUUUUUCAUUAUCAGCUAAAAUAUUACAUUUUUAACAUCCGUUUCUAUGGCAAUUUGAUCAGACAAUACUAUGGCAUGUUUUUUCAUCCUAAAAUCUGAAUUUUAUUUUCAGCCUAAAAUCUGAAAUUUUCGACAUAGUAUACUAUGUCGUUUUUUUUCGGACCAAAAUAUGAAUUUUUUGUUUUCCGGCUAAAAUAUUACAUUUUUAACAUCUGUUUCUAUGGCAAUGUGAUCAGACAAUACAAUGGCAUGUUUUUUAAUCCUAAAAUCAGAAUUUUAUUUUCAGCCUAAAAUCUGAAAUUUUCGACAUAGUAUACUAUGUCAUUUUUUUUUCGGACCAAAAUAUGAAUUUUCAUUUUCCGGCUAAAAUAUUACAGUUUUAACAUCCGUUUCUAUGGCAAUUUGAUCAGACAAUACUAUGGCAUGUUUUUUCAUCCUAAAAUCUGAAUUUUAUUUUCAGCCUAAAAUCUGAAAUUUUCGACAUAGUAUACUAUGUGUUUUUUUUUGCAGAGCAAAAUAUGAAUUUUUCAUUUUCCGGCUAAAAUAUUACAUUUUUAACAUCCGUUUCAAUGGCAAUUUGAUCAGACAAUACUAUGGCAUGUUUUUUCAUCCUAAAAUCAGAAUUUUAUUUUCAGCCUAAAAUCUGAAAUUUUCAACAUAGUAUACUAUGUCGUUUUUUUUCGGACCAAAAUAUGAAUUUUUCAUUUUCCAGCUAAAAUAUUACAGUUUUAACAUCCGUUUCUAUGGCAAUUUGAUCAGACAAUACUAUGGCAUGUUUUUUCAUCCUAAAAUCAGAAUUUUAUUUUCAGCCUAAAAUCUGAAAUUUUAGACAUAGUAUACUAUGUCGUUUUUUUUCGGACCAAAAUAUGAAUUUUUCGUUUUCCGGCUAAAAUAUUACAUUUUUAACAUCCGUUUCUAUGGCAAUGUGAUCAGACAAUACUAUGGCAUGUUUUUUCAUCCUAAAAUCUGAAAUUUAUUUUCAUUCUAAAAUCUGAAAUUUUCAAGAUAGUAUACUAUGUCGUUUUUUUUCGGACCAAAAUAUGAAUUUUUCAUUUUCCAGCUAAAAUAUUACAUUUUUAACAUCCGUUUCUAUGGCAAUUUGAUCAGACAAUACUAUGGCAUGUUUUUUCAUACUAAAAUCUGAAUUUUAUUUUCAGCCUAAAAUCUGAAAUUUUCGACAUAGUAUACUAUGUCGUUUUUUUUUCGGACCAAAAUAUGAAUUUUUCAUUAACAGCUAAAAUAUUACAUUUUUAACAUCCGUUUCUAUGGCAAUGUGAUCAGACAAUACUAUGGCAUGUUUUUUCAUCCUAAAAUCAGAAUUUUAUUUUCAGCCUAAAAUCUGAAAUUUUUGACAUAGUAUACUAUGUCGUUUUUUUUCGGACCAAAAUAUGAAUUUUUCGUUUUCCGGCUAAAAUAUUACAUUUUUAACAUCCGUUUCUAUGGCAAUGUGAUCAGACAAUACUAUGGCAUGUUUUUUCAUCCUAAAAUCAGAAUUUUAUUUUCAGCCUAAAAUCUGAAAUUUUUUGACAUAGUAUACUAUGUCGUUUUUUUUCGGACCAAAAUAUGAAUUUUUCAUUUUCCGGCUAAAAUAUUACAUUUUUAACAUCCGUUUCUAUGGCAAUGUGAUCAGACAAUACUAUGGCAUGUUUUUUCAUCCUAAAAUCUGAAUUUUAUUUUCAGCCUAAAAUCUGAAAUUUUCGACAUAGUAUACUAUGUCGUUUUUUUUUCGGACCAAAAUAUGAAUUUUUCAUUAUCAGCUAAAAUAUUACAUUUUUAACAUCCGUUUCUAUGGCAAUGUGAUAAGACAAUACUAUGGCAUGUUUUUUCAUCCUAAAAUCAGAAUUUUAUUUUCAGCCUAAAAUCUGAAAUUUUUGACAUAGUAUACUAUGUCGUUUUUUUUCGGACCAAAAUAUGAAUUUUUCGUUUUCCGGCUAAAAUAUUACAUUUUUAACAUCCGUUUCUAUGGCAAUGUGAUCAGACAAUACUAUGGCAUGUUUUUUCAUCCUAAAAUCUGAAUUUUAUUUUCAGCCUAAAAUCUGAAAUUUUCGACAUAGUAUACUAUGUCGUUUUUUUUCGGACCAAAAUAUGAAUUUUUCAUUAUCAGCUAAAAUAUUACAUUUUUAACAUCCGUUUCUAUGGCAAUGUGAUCAGACAAUACUAUGGCAUGUUUUUUCAUCCUAAAAUCUGAAUUUUAUUUUCAGCCUAAAAUCUGAAAAUUUCGACAUAGUAUACUGUCGUUUUUUUUGCGGACCAAAAUAUGAAUUUUUAAUUUUCCGGCUUAAAUAUUACAUUUUUAACAUCCGUUUCUAUGGCAAUUUGAUCAGACAAUACUAUGGCAUGUUUUUUCAUCCCUAAAAUCUGAAUUUUAUUUUCAGCCUAAAAUCUGAAAUUUUCGACAUAGUAUACUAUGUCGUUUUUUUUCGGACCAAAAUAUGAAUUUUUCAUUUUCCGGCUAAAAUAUUACAGUUUUAACAUCCGUUUCUAUGGCAAUUUGAUCAGACAAUACUAUGGCAUGUUUUUUCAUCCUAAAAUCAGAAUUUUAUUUUCAGCCUAAAAUCUGAAAUUUUCGACAUAGUAUACUAUGUCGUUUUUUUUUCGGACCAAAAUAUGAAUUUUUCAUUUUCCGGCUAAAAUAUUACAGUUUUAACAUCCGUUUCUAUGGCAAUUUGAUCAGACAAUACUAUGGCAUGUUUUCUCAUCCUAAAAUCUGAAUUUUAUUUUCAGCCUAAAAGCUGAAAUUUUCGACAUAGUAUACUAUGUCGUUUUUUUUUGGACCAAAAUAUGAAUUUUUCAUUUUCCGGCUAAAACAUUACAUUUUUAACAUCCGUUUCUAUGGCAAUUUGAUCAGACAAUACUAUGGCAUGUUUUUUCAUCCUAAAAUCUGAAUUUUAUUUUAAGCCUAAAAUCUGAAAUUUUCGACAUAGUAUAUACUUUGUCGUUUUUUUUCGGACCCAAAUAUGAAUUUUUCAUUUUCCAGCUAAAAUAUUACAUUUUUAACAUCCGUUUCUAUGGCAAUUUGAUCAGACAAUACUAUGGCAUGUUUUUUCAUCCUAAAAUCAGAAUUUUAUUUUCAGCCUAAAAUCUGAAAUUUUCGACAUAGUAUACUAUGUCGUUUUUUUUUCGGACCAAAAUAUGAAUUUUUCAUUUUCCGGCUAAAACAUUACAUUUUUAACAUCUGUUUCAAUGGCAAUUUGAUCAUACAAUACUAUGGCAUGUUUUUUCAUCCUAAAAUCUGAAUUUCAUUGUCAGCCUAAAAUCUGAAAUUUUCGACAUAGUAUACUAUGUCGUUUUUUUUCGGACCAAAAUAUGAAUUUUUCGUUUUCCGGCUAAAAUAUUACAUUUUUAACAUCUGUUUCAAUGGCAAUUUGAUCAGACAAUACUAUGGCAUGUUUUUUCAUCCUAAAAUCAGAAUUUUAUUUUCAGCCUAAAAUCUGAAAUUUUUGACAUAGUAUACUAUGUCGUUUUUUUUUCAGACCAAAAUAUGAAUUUUUCAUUUUCCGGCUAAAAUAUUACAGUUUUAACAUCCGUUUCUAUGGCAAUUUGAUCAGACAAUACUAUGGCAUGUUUUUUCAUCCUAAAAUCUAAAUUUUAUUUUCAGCCUAAAAUCUGAAAUUUUCGACAAAGUAUACUACGUCGUUUUUUUUCGGACCAAAAUAUGAAUUUUUCGUUUUCCGGCUAAAAUAUUACAUUUUUAACAUCCGUUUCUAUGGCAAUGUGAUCAGACAAUACUAUGGCAUGUUUUUUCAUCCUAAAAUCUAAAUUUUAUUUUCAGCCUAAAAUCUGAAAUUUUCGACAUAGUAUACUAUGUCGUUUUUUUUCGGACCAAAAUAUGAAUUUUUCAUUUUCCAGCUAAAAUAUUACAUUUUUAACAUCCGUUUCUAUGGCAAUGUGAUCAGACAAUACUAUGGCAUGUUUUUUCAUCCUAAAAUCUGAAUUUUAUUUUCAGCCUAAAAUCUGAAAUUUUCGACAUAGUAUACUAUGUCGUUUUUUUCGGACCAAAAUAUGAAUUUUUCAUUUUCCAGCUAAAAUAUUACAUUUUUAACAUCCGUUUCUAUGGCAAUGUGAUCAGACAAUACUAUGGCAUGUUUUUUCAUCCUAAAAUCAGAAUUUUAUUUUCAGCCUAAAAUCUGAAAUUUUCGACAUAGUAUACUAUGUCGUUUUUUUUCAGACCAAAAUAUGAAUUUUUCAUUUUCCGGCUAAAAUAUUACAUUUUUAACAUCCGUUUCUAUGGCAAUUUGAUCAGACAAUACUAUGGCAUGUUUUUUCAUCCUAAAAUCUGAAUUUUAUUUUCAGCCUAAAAUCUGAAAUUUUCGACAUAGUAUACUAUGUCGUUUUUUUUUCGGACCAAAAUAUGAAUUUUUCAUUUUCCGUCUAAAAUAUUACAUUUUUAACAUCCGUUUCUAUGGCAAUUUGAUCAGACAAUACUAUGGCAUGUUUUUUCAUCCUAAAAUCUGAAUUUUAUUUUCAGCCUAAAAUCUGAAAUUUUCGACAUAGUAUACUAUGUCGUUUUUUUUCGGACCAAAAUAUGAAUUUUUCAUUUUCCGGCUAAAAUAUUACAUUUUUAACAUCCGUUUCUAUGGCAAUUUGAUCAGACAAUACUAUGGCAUGUUUUUUCAUCCUAAAAUCAGAAUUUUAUUUUCAGCCUAAAAUCUGAAAUUUUCGACAUAGUAUACUAUGUCGUUUUUUUUCGGACCAAAAUAUGAAUUUUUCAUUUUCCGGCUAAAAUAUUACAGUUUUAACAUCCGUUUCUAUGGCAAUUUGAUCAGACAAUACUAUGGCAUGUUUUUUCAUCCUAAAAUCAGAAUUUUAUUUUCAGCCUAAAAUCUGAAAUUUUCGACAUAGUAUACUAUGUCGUUUUUUUUCGGACCAAAAUAUGAAUUUUUCAUUUUCCAGCUAAAAUAUUACAUUUUCAACAUCCGUUUCUUUGGCAAUUUGAUCAGACAAUACUAUGGCAUGUUUUUUCAUCCUUAAAUCUGAAUUUUAUUUUCAGCCUAAAAUCUGAAAUUUUCGACAUAGUAUACUAUGUCGUUUUUUUCGGACCAAAAUAUGAAUUUUUCAUUUUCCGGCUAAAAUAUUACAUUUUUAACAUCCGUUUCUAUGGCAAUGUGAUCAGACAAUACUAUGGCAUGUUUUUUCAUCCUAAAAUCUGAAUUUUAUUUUCAGCCUAAAAUCUGAAAUUUUCGACAUAGUAUACUAUGUCGUUUUUUUUCGGACCAAAAUAUGAAUUUUUCAUUUUCCAGCUAAAAUGUUACAUUUUUAACAUCCGUUUCUAUGGCAAUUUGAUCAGACAAUACUAUGGCAUGUUUUUGAUCCUAAAAUCUGAAUUUUAUUUUCAGCCUAAAAUCUGAAAUUUUCGACAUAGUAUACUAUGUCGUUUUUUUUCGGACCAAAAUAUGAAUUUUUUGUUUUCCGGCUAAAAUAUUACAUUUUUAACAUCCGUUUCUAUGGCAAUGUGAUCAGACAAUACUAUGGCAUGUUUUUUAAUCCUAAAAUCAGAAUUUUAUUUUCAGCCUAAAAUCUGAAAUUUUCGACAUAGUAUACUAUGUCAUUUUUUUUUCGGACCAAAAUAUGAAUUUUUCAUUUUCCGGCUAAAAUAUUACAGUUUUAACAUCCGUUUCUAUGGCAAUUUGAUCAGACAAUACUAUGGCAUGUUUUUUCAUCCUAAAAUCUGAAUUUUAUUUUCAGCCUAAAAUCUGAAAUUUUCGACAUAGUAUACUAUGUGUUUUUUUUUGCGGAGCAAAGUAUGAAUUUUUCAUUUUCCGGCUAAAAUAUUACAUUUUUAACAUCCGUUUCUAUGGCAAUGUGAUCAGACAAUACUAUGGCAUGUUUUUUCAUCCUAAAAUCAGAAUUUUAUUUUCAGCCUAAAAUCUGAAAUUUUCGACAUAGUAUACUAUGUCGUUUUUUUUCGGACCAAAAUAUGAAUUUUUCAUUUUCCGGCUAAAAUAUUACAUUUUUAACAUCCGUUUCUAUGGCAAUUUGAUCAGACAAUACUAUGGCAUGUUUUUUUAAUCCUAAAAUCUGAAUUUUAUUUUCAGCCUAAAAUCUGAAAUUUUCGACAUAGUAUACUAUGUCGUUUUUUUUCGGACCAAAAUAUGAAUUUUUCAUUUUCCGGCUAAAAUAUUACAUUUUUAACAUCCGUUUCUAUGGCAAUUUGAUCAGACAAUACUAUGGCAUGUUUUUUCAUCCUAAAAUCUGAAUUUUAUUUUCAGCCUAAAAUCUGAAAUUUUCGACAUAGUAUACUAUGUCGUUUUUUUUCGGACCAAAAUAUGAAUUUUUCAUUUUCCAGCUAAAAUAUUACAUUUUUAACAUCCGUUUCUAUGGCAAUUUGAUCAGACAAUACUAUGGCAUGUUUUUUCAUCCUUAAAUCUGAAUUUUAUUUUCAGCCUAAAAUCUCAAAUUUUCGACAUAGUAUACUGUCGUUUUUUUCGGACCAAAAUAUGAAUUUUUCAUUUUCCAGCUAAAAUAUUACAGUUUUAACAUCCGUUUCUAUGGCAAUGUGAUCAGACAAUACUAUGGCAUGUUUUUUCAUCCUAAAAUCAGAAUUUUAUUUUCAGCCUAAAAUCUGAAAUUUUCGACAUAGUAUACUAUGUCGUUUUUUUUUCAGACCAAAAUAUGAAUUUUUCAUUUUCCGGCUAAAAUAUUACAGUUUUAUCAUCCGUUUCUAUGGCAAUUUGAUCAGACAAUACUAUGGCAUGUUUUUUCAUCCUAAAAUCUGAAUUUUAUUUUCAGCCUAAAAUCUGAAAUUUUCGACAUAGUAUACUAUGUCGUUUUUUUUUCGUACCAAAAUAUGAAUUUUUCGUUUUCUGGCUAAAAUAUUACAUUUUUAACAUCCGUUUCUAUGGCAAUUUGAUCAGACAAUACUAUGGCAUGUUUUUUCAUCCUAAAAUCAGAAUUUUAUUUUCAGCCUAAAAUCUGAAAUUUUCGACAUAGUAUACUAUGUCGUUUUUUUUUCGGACCAAAAUAUGAAUUUUUCAUUUUCCGGCUAAAAUAUUACAGUUUUAACAUCCGUUUCUAUGGCAAUUUGAUCAGACAAUACUAUGGCAUGUUUUUUCAUCCUAAAAUCAGAAUUUUAUUUUCAGCCUAAAAUCUGAAAUUUUCGACAUAGUAUACUAUGUCGUUUUUUUUCGGACCAAAAUAUGAAUUUUUCAUUUUCCAGCUAAAAUAUUACAUUUUAAACAUCCGUUUCUAUGGCAAUUUGAUCAGACAAUACUAUGGCAUGUUUUUUCAUCCUUAAAUCUGAAUUUUAUUUUCAGCCUAAAAUCUGAAAUUUUCGACAUAGUAUACUAUGUCGUUUUUUUUCGGACCAAAAUAUGAAUUUUUCAUUUUCCGGCUAAAACAUUACAUUUUUAACAUCUGUUUCAAUGGCAAUUUGAUCAGACAAUACUAUGGCAUGUUUUUUCAUCCUAAAAUCUGAAUUUCAUUUUCAGCCUAAAAUCUGAAAUUUUCGACAUAGUAUACUAUGUCGUUUUUUUUUUCGGACCAAAAUAUGAACUUUUCAUUUUCCGGCUAAAAUAUUACAGUUUUAACAUCCGUUUCUAUGGCAAUUUGAUCAGACAAUACUAUGGCAUGUUUUUUCAUCCUAAAAUCUGAAUUUUAUUUUCAGCCUAAAAUCUGAAAUUUUCGACAUAGUAUACUAUGUCGUUUUUUUUUCGGACCAAAAUAUGAAUUUUUCAUUUUCCGGCUAAAAUAUUACAUUUUUAACAUCCGUUUCUAUGGCAAUUUGAUCAUACAAUACUAUGGCAUGUUUUUUCAUCCUAAAAUCUGAAUUUUAUUUUCAGCCUAAAAUCUGAAAUUUUCGACAUAGUAUACUAUGUCGUUUUUUUUCGGACCAAAAUAUGAAUUUUUCAUUUUCUGGCUAAAACAUUACAUUUUUAACAUCCGUUUCUAUGGCAAUUUGAUCAGACAAUACUAUGGCAUGUUUUUUCAUCCUAAAAUCAGAAUUUUAUUUUCAGCCUAAAAUCUGAAAUUUUCGACAUAGUAUACUAUGUCGUUUUUUUUUCGGACCAAAAUAUGAAUUUUUCAUUUUCCGGCUAAAAUAUUACAGUUUUAACAUCCGUUUCUAUGGCAAUUUGAUCAGACAAUACUAUGGCAUGUUUUUUCAUCCUAAAAUCUGAAUUUUAUUUUCAGCCUAAAAUCUGAAAUUUUCGACAUAGUAUACUAUGUCGUUUUUUUUUGGACCAAAAUAUGAAUUUUUCAUUUUCCAGCUAAAAUAUUACAUUUUUAACAUCUCUUUCUAUGGCAAUUUGAUCAGACAAUACUAUGGCAUGUUUUUUCAUCCUAAAAUCAGAAUUUUAUUUUCAGCCUAAAAUCUGAAAUUUUCGACAUAGUUUACUAUGUCGUUUUUUUUCGGACCAAAAUAUGAAUUUUUCCUUUUCCGGCUAAAAUAUUAAAUUUUUAACAUCCGUUUCUAUGGCAAUGUGAUCAGACAAUACUAUGGCAUGUUUUCUCAUCCUAAAAUCUGAAUUUUAUUUUCAGCCUAAAAUCUGAAAUUUUCGACAUAGUAUACUAUGUCGUUUUUUUUCGGACCAAAAUAUGAAUUUUUCAUUUUCCGGCUAAAACAUUACAUUUUUAACAUCUGUUUCAAUGGCAAUUUGAUCAUACAAUACUAUGGCAUGUUUUUUCAUCCUAAAAUCAGAAUUUUAUUUUCAGCCUAAAAUCUGAAAUUUUCGACAUAGUAUAUACUAUGUCGUUUUUUUUCGGACCAAAAUAUGAAUUUUUCAUUUUCCAGCUAAAAUAUUACAUAAUUAACAUCCUUUUCCAUGGCAAUUUGAUCAGACAAUACUAUGGCAUGUUUUUUCAUCCUAAAAUCUGAAUUUUAUUUUCAGCCUAAAAUCUGAAAUUUUCGACAUAGUAUACUAUGUCGUUUUUUUUCGGACCAAAAUAUGAAUUUUUCAUUUUCCAGCUAAAAUAUUACAUUUUUAACAUCCGUUUCUAUGGCAAUUUGAUCAGACAAUACUAUGGCAUGUUUUUUCAUCCUAAAAUCAGAAUUUUAUUUUCAGCCUAAAAUCUGAAAUUUUCCACAUAGUAUACUAUGUCGUUUUUUUUUCGGACCAAAAUAUGAAUUUUUCAUUUUCCGGCUAAAAUAUUACAGUUUUAACAUCCGUUUCUAUGGCAAUUUGAUCAGACAAUACUAUGGCAUGUUUUUUCAUCCUAAAAUCUGAAUUUUAUUUUCAGCCUAAAAUCUGAAAUUUUCGACAUAGUAUACUAUGUCGUUUUUUUUUUUUGGACCAAAAUAUGAAUUUUUCAUUUUCCAGCUAAAAUAUUACAUUUUUAACAUCUCUUUCUAUGGCAAUUUGAUCAGACAAUACUAUGGCAUGUUUUUUCAUCCUAAAAUCAGAAUUUUAUUUUCAGCCUAAAAUCUGAAAUUUUCGACAUAGUUUACUAUGUCGUUUUUUUUCGGACCAAAAUAUGAAUUUUUCCUUUUCCGGCUAAAAUAUUAAAUUUUUAACAUCCGUUUCUAUGGCAAUGUGAUCAGACAAUACUAUGGCAUGUUUUCUCAUCCUAAAAUCUGAAUUUUAUUUUCAGCCUAAAAUCUGAAAUUUUCGACAUAGUAUACUAUGUCGUUUUUUUUUGGACCAAAAUAUGAAUUUUUCAUUUUCCGGCUAAAACAUUACAUUUUUAACAUCUGUUUCAAUGGCAAUUUGAUCAGACAAUACUAUGGCAUGUUUUUUCAUCCUAAAAUCAGAAUUUUAUUUUCAGCCUAAAAUCUGAAAUUUUCGACAUAGUAUAUACUAUGUCGUUUUUUUUCGGACCAAAAUAUGAAUUUUUCAUUUUCCAGCUAAAAUAUUACAUUUUUAACAUCCGUUUCGAUGGCAAUUUGAUCAGACAAUACUAUGGCAUGUUUUUUCAUCCUAAAAUCUGAAUUUUAUUUUCAGCCUAAAAUCUGAAAUUUUCGACAUAGUAUACUAUGUCGUUUUUUUUCGGACCAAAAUAUGAAUUUUUCAUUUUCCAGCUAAAAUAUUACAUUUUUAACAUCCGUUUCGAUGGCAAUUUGAUCAGACAAUACUAUGGCAUGUUUUUUCAUCCUAAAAUCAGAAUUUUAUUUUCAGCCUAAAAUCUGAAAUUUUCGACAUAGUAUACUAUGUCGUUUUUUUUUCGGACCAAAAUAUGAAUUUUUCAUUUUCCGGCUAAAAUAUUACAGUUUUAACAUCCGUUUCUAUGGCAAUUUGAUGAGACAAUACUAUGGCAUGUUUUUUCAUCCUAAAAUCUGAAUUUUAUUUUCAGCCUAAAAUCUGAAAUUUUCGACAUAGUUUACUAUGUCGUUUUUUUUCGGACCAAAAUAUGAAUUUUUCAUUUUCCAGCUAAAAUAUUACAUUUUUAACAUCCGUUUCUAUGGCAAUGUGAUCAGACAAUACUAUGGCAUGUUUUUUCAUCCUAAAAUCAGAAUUUUAUUUUCAGCCUAAAAUCUGAAAUUUUCGACAUAGUAUACUAUGUCGUUUUUUUUCGGACCAAAAUAUGAAUUUUUCAUUUUCCGACUAAAAUAUUACAGUUUUAACAUCCGUUUCUAUGGCAAUUUGAUGAGACAAUACUAUGGCAUGUUUUUUCAUCCUAAAAUCUGAAUUUUAUUUUCAGCCUAAAAUCUGAAAUUUUCGACAUAGUAUACUAUGUUGUUUUUUUUUUCGGACCAAAAUAUGAAUUUUUCAUUUUUCGGCUAAAAUAUUACAGUUUUAACAUACGUUUCUAUGGCAAUUUGAUCAGACAAUACUAUGGCAUGUUUUCUCAUCCUAAAAUCAGAAUUUUAUUUUCAGCCUAAAAUCUGAAAUUUUCGACAUAGUAUACUAUGUCGUUUUUUUUUUCGGACCAAAAUAUGAAUUUUUCAUUUUCCGGCUAAAAUAUUACAGUUUUAACAUCCGUUUCUAUGGCAAUUUGAUCAGACAAUACUAUGGCAUGUUUUUUCAUCCUAAAAUCUGAAUUUUAUUUUCAGCCUAAAAUCUGAAAUUUUCGACAUAGUAUACUAUGUUGUUUUUUUUUUCGGACCAAAAUAUGAAUUUUUCAUUUUCCGGCUAAAAUAUUACAUUUUUAACAUCCGUUUCUAUGGCAAUUUGAUCAGACAAUACUAUGGCAUGUUUUCUCAUCCUAAAAUCAGAAUUUUAUUUUCAGCCUAAAAUCUGAAAUUUUCGACAUAGUAUACUAUGUCGUUUUUUUUCGGACCAAAAUAUGAAUUUUUCAUUUUCCGGCUAAAAUAUUACAGUUUUAACAUCCGUUUCGAUGGCAAUUUGACCAGACAAUACUAUGGCAUGUUUUUUCAUCCUAAAAUCUGAAUUUUAUUUUCAGCCUAAAAUCUGAAAUUUUCGACAUAGUAUAUACUAUGUCGUUUUUUUUCGGACCAAAAUAUGAAUUUUUCAUUUUCCGGCUAAAAUAUUACAUUUUUAACAUCCGUUUCUAUGGCAAUGUGAUCAGACAAUACUAUGGCAUGUUUUUUCAUCCUAAAAUCAGAAUUUUAUUUUCAGCCUAAAAUCUGAAAUUUUCGACAUAGUAUACUAUGUCGUUUUUUUUCGGACCAAAAUAUGAAUUUUUCAUUUUCCGGCUAAAAUAUUACAGUUUUAACAUCCGUUUCUAUGGCAAUUUGAUCAGACAAUACUAUGGCAUGUUUUUUCAUCCUAAAAUCAGAAUUUUAUUUUCAGCCUAAAAUCUGAAAUUUUCGACAUAGUAUACUAUGUCGUUUUUUUUCGGACCAAAAUAUGAAUUUUUCAUUUUCCAGCUAAAAUAUUACAUUUUUAACAUCCGUUUCUAUAUGGCAAUUUGAUCAGACAAUACUAUGGCAUGUUUUUUCAUCCUAAAAUCAGAAUUUUAUUUUCAGCCUAAAAUCUGAAAUUUUCGACAUAGUAUACUAUGUCGUUUUUUUUUCGGACCAAAAUAUGAAUUUUUCAUUUUCCGGCUAAAAUAUUACAUUUUUAACAUCUGUUUCAAUGGCAAUUUGAUCAGACAAUACUAUGGCAUGUUUUUUCAUCCUAAAAUCAGAAUUUUAUUUUCAGCCUAAAAUCUGAAAUUUUCGACAUAGUAUACUAUGUCGUUUUUUUUCUGACCAAAAUAUGAAUUUUUCGUUUUCCGGCUAAAAUAUUAAAUUUUUAACAUCCGUUUCUAUGGCAAUGUGAUCAGACAAUACUAUGGCAUGUUUUUUCAUCCUAAAAUCAGAAUUUUAUUUUCAGCCUAAAAUCUGAAAUUUUCGACAUAGUAUACUAUGUCGUUUUUUUUCGGACCAAAAUAUGAAUUUUUCAUUUUCCGGCUAAAAUAUUACAGUUUUAACAUCCGUUUCUAUGGCAAUUUGAUCAGACAAUACUAUGGCAUGUUUUUUCAUCCUAAAAUCAGAAUUUUAUUUUCAGCCUAAAAUCUGAAAUUUUCGACAUAGUAUACUAUGUCGGUUUUUUUUUCGGAGCAAAAUAUGAAUUUUUCAUUUUCCGGCUAAAAUAUUACAUUUUUAACAUCCGUUUCUAUGGCAAUUUGAUCAGACAAUACUAUGGCAUGUUUUUCUCAUCCUAAAAUCUGAAUUUUAUUUUCAGCCUAAAAUCUGAAAUUUUCGACAUAGUAUACUAUGUCGUUUUUUUUCGGACCAAAAUAUGAAUUUUUCAUUUUCCGGCUAAAAUAUUACAGUUUUAACAUCCGUUUCUAUGGCAAUGUGAUCAGACAAUACUAUGGCAUGUUUUUUCAUCCUAAAAUCUGAAUUUUAUUUUCAGCCUAAAAUCUGAAAUUUUCGACAUAGUAUACUAUGUCGUUUUUUUUUCGGACCAAAAUAUGAAUUUUUCAUUUUCCGGCUAAAAUAUUACAGUUUUAACAUCCCUUUCUAUGGCAAUUUAAUCAGACAAUACUAUGGCAUGUUUUUUCAUCCUAAAAUCUGAAUUUUAUUUUCAGCCUAAAAUCUGAAAUUUUCGACAUAGUAUACUAUGUCGUUUUUUUUUCGGACCAAAAUAUGAAUUUUUCAUUUUCCGGCUAAAAUAUUACAUUUUUAACAUCCGUUUCUAUGGCAAUUUGAUCAGACAAUACUAUGGCAUGUUUUUUCAUCCUAAAAUCAGAAUUUUAUUUUCAGCCUAAAAUCUGAAAUUUUCGACAUAGUAUACUAUGUCGUUUUUUUUCGGACCAAAAUAUGAAUUUUUCAUUUUCCGGCUAAAAUAUUACAUUUUUAACAUCCGUUUCUAUGGCAAUUUGAUCAGACAAUACUAUGGCAUGUUUUUUCAUCCUAAAAUCUGAAUUUUAUUUUCAGCCUAAAAUCUGAAAUUUUCGACAUAGUAUACUAUGUCGUUUUUUUUUGGACCAAAAUAUGAAUUUUUCAUUUUCCGGCUAAAACAUUACAUUUUUAACAUCCGUUUCUAUGGCAAUUUGAUCAGACAAUACUAUGGCAUGUUUUUUCAUCCUAAAAUCAGAAUUUUAUUUUCAGCCUAAAAUCUGAAAUUUUCGACAUAGUAUAUACUAUGUCGUUUUUUUUCGGACCAAAAUAUGAAUUUUUCAUUUUCCGGCUAAAAUAUUACAUUUUUAACAUCCGUUUCUAUGGCAAUUUGAUCAGACAAUACUAUGGCAUGUUUUUUCAUCCUAAAAUCUGAAUUUUAUUUUCAGCCUAAAAUCUGAAAUUUUCGACAUAGUAUACUAUGUCGUUUUUUUUCGGACCAAAAUAUGAAUUUUUCAUUUUCCAGCUAAAAUAUUACAUUUUUAACAUCCGUUUCGAUGGCAAUUUGAUCAGACAAUACUAUGGCAUGUUUUUUCAUCCUAAAAUCUGAAUUUUAUUUUCAGCCUAAAAUCUGAAAUUUUCGACAUAGUAUACUAUGUCGUUUUUUUUCGGACCAAAAUAUGAAUUUUUCAUUUUCCAGCUAAAAUAUUACAUUUUUAACAUCCGUUUCUAUGGCAAUGUGAUCAGACAAUACUAUGGCAUGUUUUUUCAUCCUAAAAUCAGAAUUUUAUUUUCAGCCUAAAAUCUGAAAUUUUCGACAUAGUAUACUAUGUCGUUUUUUUUUUCGGACCAAAAUAUGAAUUUUUCAUUUUCCGGCUAAAAUAUUACAGUUUUAACAUCCGUUUCUAUGGCAAUUUGAUCAUACAAUACUAUGGCAUGUUUUUUCAUCCUAAAAUCAGAAUUUUAUUUUCAGCCUAAAAUCUGAAAUUUUCGACAUAGUAUACUAUGUUGUUUUUUUUUUCGGACCAAAAUAUGAAUUUUUCAUUUUUCGGCUAAAAUAUUACAGUUUUAACAUACGUUUCUAUGGCAAUUUGAUCAGACAAUACUAUGGCAUGUUUUCUCAUCCUAAAAUCUGAAUUUUAUUUUCAGCCUAAAAUCUGAAAUUUUCGACAUAGUAUACUAUGUCGUUUUUUUUUGGACCAAAAUAUGAAUUUUUCAUUUUCCGGCUAAAACAUUACAUUUUUAACAUCCGUUUCUAUGGCAAUUUGACCAGACAAUACUAUGGCAUGUUUUUUCAUCCUAAAAUCUGAAUUUUAUUUUCAGCCUAAAAUCUGAAAUUUUCGACAUAGUAUAUACUAUGUCGUUUUUUUUCGGACCAAAAUAUGAAUUUUUCAUUUUCCGGCUAAAAUAUUACAUUUUUAACAUCCGUUUCUAUGGCAAUGUGAUCAGACAAUACUAUGGCAUGUUUUUUCAUCCUAAAAUCAGAAUUUUAUUUUCAGCCUAAAAUCUGAAAUUUUCGACAUAGUAUACUAUGUCGUUUUUUUUUCGGACCAAAAUAUGAAUUUUUCAUUUUCCGGCUAAAAUAUUACAGUUUUAACAUCCGUUUCUAUGGCAAUUUGAUCAGACAAUACUAUGGCAUGUUUUUUCAUCCUAAAAUCAGAAUUUUAUUUUCAGCCUAAAAUCUGAAAUUUUCGACAUAGUAUACUAUGUCGUUUUUUUUCGGACCAAAAUAUGAAUUUUUCAUUUUCCGGCUAAAACAUUACAUUUUUAACAUCCGUUUCUAUGGCAAUUUGAUCAUACAAUACUAUGGCAUGUUUUUUCAUCCUAAAAUCAGAAUUUUAUUUUCAGCCUAAAAUCUGAAAUUUUCGACAUAGUAUACUAUGUCGUUUUUUUUUCGGACCAAAAUAUGAAUUUUUCAUUUUCCGGCUAAAAUAUUACAGUUUUAACAUCCCUUUCUAUGGCAAUUUGAUCAGACAAUACUAUGGCAUGUUUUUUCAUCCUAAAAUCUGAAUUUUAUUUUCAGCCUAAAAUCUGAAAUUUUCGACAUAGUAUACUAUGUCGUUUUUUUUUCGGACCAAAAUAUGAAUUUUUCAUUUUCCGGCUAAAAUAUUACAUUUUUAACAUCCGUUUCUAUGGCAAUUUGAUCAGACAAUACUAUGGCAUGUUUUUUCAUCCUAAAAUCAGAAUUUUAUUUUCAGCCUAAAAUCUGAAAUUUUCGACAUAGUAUACUAUGUCGUUUUUUUUCGGACCAAAAUAUGAAUUUUUCGUUUUCUGGCUAAAAUAUUACAUUUUUAACAUCCGUUUCUAUGGCAAUGUGAUCAGACAAUACUAUGGCAUGUUUUUUCAUCCUAAAAUCUGAAAUUUAUUUUCAUUCUAAAAUCUGAAAUUUUCGACAUAGUAUACUAUGUCGUUUUUUUUUGGACCAAAAUAUGAAUUUUUCAUUUUCCGGCUAAAACAUUACAUUUUUAACAUCCGUUUCUAUGGCAAUUUGAUCAGACAAUACUAUGGCAUGUUUUUUCAUCCUAAAAUCAGAAUUUUAUUUUCAGCCUAAAAUCUGAAAUUUUCGACAUAGUAUAUACUAUGUCGUUUUUUUUCGGACCAAAAUAUGAAUUUUUCAUUUUCCGGCUAAAAUAUUACAUUUUUAACAUCCGUUUCUAUGGCAAUUUGAUCAGACAAUACUAUGGCAUGUUUUUUCAUCCUAAAAUCUGAAUUUUAUUUUCAGCCUAAAAUCUGAAAUUUUCGACAUAGUAUACUAUGUCGUUUUUUUUUGGACCAAAAUAUGAAUUUUUCAUUUUCCAGCUAAAAUAUUACAUUUUUAACAUCCGUUUCUAUGGCAAUUUGAUCAGACAAUACUAUGGCAUGUUUUUUCAUCCUAAAAUCAGAAUUUUAUUUUCAGCCUAAAAUCUGAAAUUUUCGACAUAGUAUACUAUGUCGUUUUUUUUCGGACCAAAAUAUGAAUUUUUCAUUUUCCAGCUAAAAUAUUACAUUUUUAACAUCCGUUUCUAUGGCAAUUUGAUCAGACAAUACUAUGGCAUGUUUUUUCAUCCUAAAAUCAGAAUUUUAUUUUCAGCCUAAAAUCUGAAAUUUUCGACAUAGUAUACUAUGUCGUUUUUUUUUUCGGACCAAAAUAUGAAUUUUUCAUUUUCCGGCUAAAAUAUUACAUUUUUAACAUCCCUUUUUUUUAUGGCAAUUUGAUCAGACAAUACUAUGGCAUGUUUUUUCAUCCUAAAAUCAGAAUUUUAUUUUCAGCCUAAAAUCUGAAAUUUUCGACAUAGUAUACUAUGUCGUUUUUUUUCUGACCAAAAUAUGAAUUUUUCGUUUUCCGGCUAAAAUAUUACAUUUUUAACAUCCCUUUCUAUGGCAAUGUGAUCAGACAAUACUAUGGCAUGUUUUUUCAUCCUAAAAUCAGAAUUUUAUUUUCAGCCUAAAAUCUGAAAUUUUCGACAUAGUAUACUAUGUCGUUUUUUUUCGGACCAAAAUAUGAAUUUUUCAUUUUCCGGCUAAAAUAUUACAGAUUUAACAUCCGUUUCUAUGGCAAUUUGAUCAGACAAUACUAUGGCAUGUUUUUUCAUCCUAAAAUCAGAAUUUUAUUUUCAGCCUAAAAUCUGAAAUUUUCGACAUAGUAUACUAUGUCGGUUUUUUUUUCGGAGCAAAAUAUGAAUUUUUCAUUUUCCGGCUAAAAUAUUACAUUUUUAACAUCCGUUUCUAUGGCAAUUUGAUCAGACAAUACUAUGGCAUGUUUUCUCAUCCUAAAAUCUGAAUUUUAUUUUCAGCCUAAAAUCUGAAAUUUUCGACAUAGUAUACUAUGUCGUUUUUUUUCGGACCAAAAUAUGAAUUUUUCAUUUUCCGGCUAAAACAUUACAUUUUUAACAUCCGUUUCUAUGGCAAUUUGAUCAGACAAUACUAUGGCAUGUUUUUUCAUCCUAAAAUCAGAAUUUUAUUUUCAGCCUAAAAUCUGAAAUUUUCGACAUAGUAUACUAUGUCGUUUUUUUUCGGACCAAAAUAUGAAUUUUUCAUUUUCCGGCUAAAAUAUUACAUUUUUAACAUCCGUUUCUAUGGCAAUUUGAUCAGACAAUACUAUGGCAUGUUUUUUCAUCCUAAAAUCUGAAUUUUAUUUUCAGCCUAAAAUCUGAAAUUUUCGACAUAGUAUACUAUGUCGUUUUUUUUCGGACCAAAAUAUGAAUUUUUCAUUUUCCGGCUAAAAUAUUACAUUUUUAACAUCCGUUUCUAUGGCAAUUUGAUCAGACAAUACUAUGGCAUGUUUUUUCAUCCUAAAAUCAGAAUUUUAUUUUCAGCCUAAAAUCUGAAAUUUUCGACAUAGUAUACUAUGUCGUUUUUUUUCGGACCAAAAUAUGAAUUUUUCAUUUUCCGGCUAAAAUAUUACAUUUUUAACAUCCGUUUCUAUGGCAAUUUGAUCAGACAAUACUAUGGCAUGUUUUUUCAUCCUAAAAUCUGAAUUUUAUUUUCAGCCUAAAAUCUGAAAUUUUCGACAUAGUAUACUAUGUCGUUUUUUUUCGGACCAAAAUAUGAAUUUUUCAUUUUCCGGCUAAAAUAUUACAUUUUUAAAAUCCGUUUCUAUGGCAAUUUGAUCAGACAAUACUAUGGCAUGUUUUUUCAUCCUAAAAUAAGAAUUUUAUUUUCAGCCUAAAAUCUGAAAUUUUCGACAUAGUAUACUAUGUCGUUUUUUUUCGGACCAAAAUAUGAAUUUUUCAUUUUCCGGCUAAAAUAUUACAUUUUUAACAUCCGUUUCUAUGGCAAUUUGAUCAGACAAUACUAUGGCAUGUUUUUUCAUCCUAAAAUCAGAAUUUUAUUUUCAGCCUAAAAUCUGAAAUUUUCGACAUAGUAUACUAUGUUGUUUUUUUUUUCGGACCAAAAUAUGAAUUUUUCAUUUUUCGGCUAAAAUAUUACAGUUUUAACAUCCGUUUCUAUGGCAAUUUGAUCAGACAAUACUAUGGCAUGUUUUUUCAUCCUAAAAUCUGAAUUUUAUUUUCAGCCUAAAAUCUGAAAUUUUCGACAUAGUAUACUAUGUUGUUUUUUUUUUCGGACCAAAAUAUGAAUUUUUCAUUUUCCGGCUAAAAUAUUACAUUUUUAACAUCCGUUUCUAUGGCAAUGUGAUCAGACAAUACUAUGGCAUGUUUUUUCAUCCUAAAAUCAGAAUUUUAUUUUCAGCCUAAAAUCUGAAAUUUUCGACAUAGUAUACUAUGUCGUUUUUUUUCGGACCAAAAUAUGAAUUUUUCAUUUUCCGGCUAAAAUAUUACAGUUUUAACAUCCGUUUCUAUGGCAAUUUGAUCAGACAAUACUAUGGCAUGUUUUUUCAUCCUAAAAUCAGAAUUUUAUUUUCAGCCUAAAAUCUGAAAUUUUCGACAUAGUAUACUAUGUCGUUUUUUUUCGGACCAAAAUAUGAAUUUUUCAUUUUCCGGCUAAAACAUUACAUUUUUAACAUCCGUUUCUAUGGCAAUUUGAUCAGACAAUACUAUGGCAUGUUUUUUCAUCCUAAAAUCAGAAUUUUAUUUUCAGCCUAAAAUCUGAAAUUUUCGACAUAGUAUACUAUGUCGUUUUUUUUUCGGACCAAAAUAUGAAUUUUUCAUUUUCCGGCUAAAAUAUUACAGUUUUAACAUCCCUUUCUAUGGCAAUUUGAUCAGACAAUACUAUGGCAUGUUUUUUCAUCCUAAAAUCUGAAUUUUAUUUUCAGCCUAAAAUCUGAAAUUUUCGACAUAGUAUACUAUGUCGUUUUUUUUUUCGGACCAAAAUAUGAAUUUUUCAUUUUCCGGCUAAAAUAUUACAUUUUUAACAUCCGUUUCUAUGGCAAUUUGAUCAGACAAUACUAUGGCAUGUUUUUUCAUCCUAAAAUCAGAAUUUUAUUUUCAGCCUAAAAUCUGAAAUUUUCGACAUAGUAUACUAUGUCGUUUUUUUUCGGACCAAAAUAUGAAUUUUUCGUUUUCCGGCUAAAAUAUUACAUUUUUAACAUCCGUUUCUAUGGCAAUGUGAUCAGACAAUACUAUGGCAUGUUUUUUUAUCCUAAAAUCUGAAUUUUAUUUUCAGCCUAAAAUCUGAAAUUUUCGACAUAGUAUACUAUGUCGUUUUUUUUUUGGACCAAAAUAUGAAUUUUUAAUUUUCCGGCUAAAACAUUACAUUUUUAACAUCCGUUUCUAUGGCAAUUUGAUCAGACAAUACUAUGGCAUGUUUUUUCAUCCUAAAAUCAGAAUUUUAUUUUCAGCCUAAAAUCUGAAAUUUUCGACAUAGUAUAUACUAUGUCGUUUUUUUUUCGGACCAAAAUAUGAAUUUUUCAUUUUCCGGCUAAAAUAUUACAUUUUUAACAUCCGUUUCUAUGGCAAUUUGAUCAUACAAUACUAUGGCAUGUUUUUUCAUCCUAAAAUCUGAAUUUUAUUUUCAGCCUAAAAUCUGAAAUUUUCGACAUAGUAUACUAUGUCGUUUUUUUCGGACCAAAAUAUGAAUUUUUCAUUUUCCAGCUAAAAUAUUACAUUUUUAACAUCCGUUUCUAUGGCAAUUUGAUCAGACAAUACUAUGGCAUGUUUUUUCAUCCUAAAAUCUGAAUUUUAUUUUCAGCCUAAAAUCUGAAAUUUUCGACAUAGUAUACUAUGUCGUUUUUUUUUCGGACCAAAAUAUGAAUUUUUCAUUUUCCAGCUAAAAUAUUACAUUUUUAACAUCCGUUUCUAUGGCAAUGUGAUCAGACAAUACUAUGGCAUGUUUUUUCAUCCUAAAAUCAGAAUUUUAUUUUCAGCCUAAAAUCUGAAAUUUUCGACAUAGUAUACUAUGUCGUUUUUUUUCGGACCAAAAUAUGAAUUUUUCAUUUUCCAGCUAAAAUAUUACAUUUUUAACAUCCGUUUCUAUGGCAAUUUGAUCAGACAAUACUAUGGCAUGUUUUUUCAUCCUAAAAUCAGAAUUUUAUUUUCAGCCUAAAAUCUGAAAUUUUCGACAUAGUAUACUAUGUCGUUUUUUUUUCGGACCAAAAUAUGAAUUUUUCAUUUUCCGGCUAAAAUAUUACAUUUUUAACAUCUGUUUCAAUGGCAAUUUGAUCAGACAAUACUAUGGCAUGUUUUUUCAUCCUAAAAUCAGAAUUUUAUUUUCAGCCUAAAAUCUGAAAUUUUCGACAUAGUAUACUAUGUCGUUUUUUUUCUGACCAAAAUAUGAAUUUUUCGUUUUCCGGCUAAAAUAUUAAUUUUUUAACAUCCCUUUCUAUGGCAAUGUGAUCAGACAAUACUAUGGCAUGUUUUUUCAUCCUAAAAUCAGAAUUUUAUUUUCAGCCUAAAAUCUGAAAUUUUCGACAUAGUAUACUAUGUCGUUUUUUUUCGGACCAAAAUAUGAAUUUUUCAUUUUCCGGCUAAAAUAUUACAGUUUUAACAUCCGUUUCUAUGGCAAUUUGAUCAGACAAUACUAUGGCAUGUUUUUUCAUCCUAAAAUCAGAAUUUUAUUUUCAGCCUAAAAUCUGAAAUUUUCGACAUAGUAUACUAUGUCGGUUUUUUUUUCGGAGCAAAAUAUGAAUUUUUCAUUUUCCGGCUAAAAUAUUACAUUUUUAACAUCCGUUUCUAUGGCAAUUUGAUCAGACAAUACUAUGGCAUGUUUUUUCAUCCUAAAAUCUGAAUUUUAUUUUCAGCCUAAAAUCUGAAAUUUUCGACAUAGUAUACUAUGUCGUUUUUUUUCGGACCAAAAUAUGAAUUUUUCAUUUUCCGGCUAAAAUAUUACAUUUUUAACAUCCGUUUCUAUGGCAAUUUGAUCAGACAAUACUAUGGCAUGUUUUUUCAUCCUAAAAUCAGAAUUUUAUUUUCAGCCUAAAAUCUGAAAUUUUCGACAUAGUAUACUAUGUCGUUUUUUUUCGGACCAAAAUAUGAAUUUUUCAUUUUCCGGCUAAAAUAUUACAGUUUUAACAUCCGUUUCUAUGGCAAUUUGAUCAGACAAUACUAUGGCAUUUUUUUUCAUCCUAAAAUCUGAAUUUUAUUUUCAGCCUAAAAUCUGAAAUUUUCGACAUAGUAUACUAUGUCGUUUUUUUUUUCGGACCAAAAUAUGAAUUUUUCAUUUUCCGGCUAAAAUAUUACAUUUUUAACAUCCGUUUCUAUGGCAAUUUGAUCAGACAAUACUAUGGCAUGUUUUUUCAUCCUAAAAUCAGAAUUUUAUUUUCAGCCUAAAAUCUGAAAUUUUCGACAUAGUAUACUAUGUCUUUUUUUUCGGACCAAAAUAUGAAUUUUUCGUUUUCUGGCUAAAAUAUUACAUUUUUAACAUCCGUUUCUAUGGCAAUGUGAUCAGACAAUACUAUGGCAUGUUUUUUCAUCCUAAAAUCUGAAUUUUAUUUUCAGCCUAAAAUCUGAAAUUUUCGACAUAGUAUACUAUGUCGUUUUUUUUUUGGACCAAAAUAUGAAUUUUUCAUUUUCCGGCUAAAAUAUUACAUUUUUAACAUCCGUUUCUAUGGCAAUUUGAUCAGACAAUACUAUGGCAUGUUUUUUCAUCCUAAAAUCAGAAUUUUAUUUUCAGCCUAAAAUCUGAAAUUUUCGACAUAGUAUAUACUAUGUCGUUUUUUUUCGGACCAAAAUAUGAAUUUUUCAUUUUCCGGCUAAAAUAUUACAUUUUUAACAUCCGUUUCUAUGGCAAUUUGAUCAGACAAUACUAUGGCAUGUUUUUUCAUCCUAAAAUCUGAAUUUUAUUUUCAGCCUAAAAUCUGAAAUUUUCGACAUAGUAUACUAUGUCGUUUUUUUUCGGACCAAAAUAUGAAUUUUUCAUUUUCCAGCUAAAAUAUUACAUUUUUAACAUCCGUUUCUAUGGCAAUUUGAUCAGACAAUACUAUGGCAUGUUUUUUCAUCCUAAAAUCAGAAUUUUAUUUUCAGCCUAAAAUCUGAAAUUUUCGACAUAGUAUACUAUGUCGUUUUUUUUCGGACCAAAAUAUGAAUUUUUCAUUUUCCAGCUAAAAUAUUACAUUUUUAACAUCCGUUUCUAUGGCAAUGUGAUCAGACAAUACUAUGGCAUGUUUUUUCAUCCUAAAAUCAGAAUUUUAUUUUCAGCCUAAAAUCUGAAAUUUUCGACAUAGUAUACUAUGUCGUUUUUUUCGGACCAAAAUAUGAAUUUUUCAUUUUCCAGCUAAAAUAUUACAUUUUUAACAUCCGUUUCUAUGGCAAUUUGAUCAGACAAUACUAUGGCAUGUUUUUUCAUCCUAAAAUCAGAAUUUUAUUUUCAGCCUAAAAUCUGAAAUUUUCGACAUAGUAUAUACUAUGUCGUUUUUUUUUUCGGACCAAAAUAUGAAUUUUUCAUUUUCCAGCUAAAAUAUUACAUUUUUAACAUCCGUUUCUAUGGCAAUUUGAUCAGACAAUACUAUGGCAUGUUUUUUCAUCCUAAAAUCAGAAUUUUAUUUUCAGCCUAAAAUCUGAAAUUUUCGACAUAGUAUACUAUGUCGUUUUUUUUCGGACCAAAAUAUGAAUUUUUCAUUUUCCAGCUAAAAUAUUACAUUUUUAACAUCCGUUUCUAUGGCAAUUUGAUCAGACAAUACUAUGGCAUGUUUUUUCAUCCUAAAAUCUUAAUUUUAUUUUCAGCCUAAAAUCUGAAAUUUUCGACAUAGUAUACUAUGUCGUUUUUUUUUCGGACCAAAAUAUGAAUUUUUCAUUUUCCGGCUAAAAUAUUACAUUUUUAACAUCUGUUUCAAUGGCAAUUUGAUCAGACAAUACUAUGGCAUGUUUUUUCAUCCUAAAAUCAGAAUUUUAUUUUCAGCCUAAAAUCUGAAAUUUUCGACAUAGUAUACUAUGUCGUUUUUUUUCGGACCAAAAUAUGAAUUUUUCAUUUUCCGGCUAAAAUAUUAAAUUUUUAACAUCCGUUUCUAUGGCAAUGUGAUCAGACAAUACUAUGGCAUGUUUUUUCAUCCUAAAAUCAGAAUUUUAUUUUCAGCCUAAAAUCUGAAAUUUUCGACAUAGUAUACUAUGUCGUUUUUUUUUCGGACCAAAAUAUGAAUUUUUCAUUUUCCGGCUAAAAUAUUACAGUUUUAACAUCCCUUUCUAUGGCAAUUUGAUCAGACAAUACUAUGGCAUGUUUUUUCAUCCUAAAAUCAGAAUUUUAUUUUCAGCCUAAAAUCUGAAAUUUUCGACAUAGUAUACUAUGUCGGUUUUUUUUUUGGACCAAAAUAUGAAUUUUUCAUUUUCCGGCUAAAAUAUUACAUUUUUAACAUCCGUUUCUAUGGCAAUUUGAUCAGACAAUACUAUGGCAUGUUUUUUCAUCCUAAAAUCUGAAUUUUAUUUUCAGCCUAAAAUCUGAAAUUUUCGACAUAGUAUACUAUGUCGUUUUUUUUCGGACCAAAAUAUGAAUUUUUCAUUUUCCGGCUAAAACAUUACAUUUUUAACAUCCGUUUCUAUGGCAAUUUGAUCAGACAAUACUAUGGCAUGUUUUUUCAUCCUAAAAUCAGAAUUUUAUUUUCAGCCUAAAAUCUGAAAUUUUCGACAUAGUAUACUAUGUCGUUUUUUUUCGGACCAAAAUAUGAAUUUUUCAUUUUCCGGCUAAAAUAUUACAGUUUUAACAUCCCUUUCUAUGGCAAUUUGAUCAGACAAUACUAUGGCAUGUUUUUUCAUCCUAAAAUCUGAAUUUUAUUUUCAGCCUAAAAUCUGAAAUUUUCGACAUAGUAUACUAUGUCGUUUUUUUUCGGACCAAAAUAUGAAUUUUUCAUUUUCCGGCUAAAAUAUUACAUUUUUAACAUCCGUUUCUAUGGCAAUUUGAUCAGACAAUACUAUGGCAUGUUUUUUCAUCCUAAAAUCUUAAUUUUAUUUUCAGCCUAAAAUCUGAAAUUUUCGACAUAGUAUACUAUGUCGUUUUUUUCGGACCAAAAUAUGAAUUUUUCAUUUUCCGGCUAAAAUAUUACAUUUUUAACAUCCGUUUCUAUGGCAAUUUGAUCAGACAAUACUAUGGCAUGUUUUUUCAUCCUAAAAUCAGAAUUUUAUUUUCAGCCUAAAAUCUGAAAUUUUCGACAUAGUAUACUAUGUCGUUUUUUUUUCGGACCAAAAUAUGAAUUUUUCAUUUUCCGGCUAAAAUAUUACAGUUUUAACAUCCGUUUCUAUGGCAAUUUGAUCAGACAAUACUAUGGCAUGUUUUUUCAUCCUAAAAUCUGAAUUUUAUUUUCAGCCUAAAAUCUGAAAUUUUCGACAUAGUAUACUAUGUCGUUUUUUUUUGGACCAAAAUAUGAAUUUUUCAUUUUCCAGCUAAAAUAUUACAUUUUUAACAUCUCGUUUCUAUGGCAAUUUGAUCAGACAAUACUAUGGCAUGUUUUUUCAUCCUAAAAUCAGAAUUUUAUUUUCAGCCUAAAAUCUGAAAUUUUCGACAUAGUAUACUAUGUCGUUUUUUUUCGGACCAAAAUAUGAAUUUUUAGUUUUCCGGCUAAAAUAUUACAUUUUUAACAUCCGUUUCUAUGGCAAUGUGAUCAGACAAUACUAUGGCAUGUUUUUUCAUCCUAAAAUCAGAAUUUUAUUUUCAGCCUAAAAUCUGAAAUUUUCGACAUAGUAUACUAUGUCGUUUUUUUUCGGACCAAAAUAUGAAUUUUUCAUUUUCCGGCUAAAAUAUUACAGUUUUAACAUCCGUUUCUAUGGCAAUUUGAUCAGACAAUACUAUGGCAUGUUUUUUCAUCCUAAAAUCAGAAUUUUAUUUUCAGCCUAAAAUCUGAAAUUUUCGACAUAGUAUACUAUGUCGUUUUUUUUGGACCAAAAUAUGAAUUUUUCAUUUUCCAGCUAAAAUAUUACAUUUUUAACAUCUCUUUCUAUGGCAAUUUGAUCAGACAAUACUAUGGCAUGUUUUUUCAUCCUAAAAUCUGAAUUUUAUUUUCAGCCUAAAAUCUGAAAUUUUCGACAUAGUAUAAUAUGUCGUUUUUUUUCGGACCAAAAUAUGAAUUUUUCAUUUUCCGGCUAAAAUAUUACAUUUUUAACAUCCGUUUCUAUGGCAAUGUGAUCAGACAAUACUAUGGCAUGUUUUUUCAUCCUAAAAUCAGAAUUUUAUUUUCAGCCUAAAAUCUGAAAUUUUCGACAUAGUAUACUAUGUCGUUUUUUUUUCGGACCAAAAUAUGAAUUUUUCAUUUUCCGGCUAAAAUAUUACAGUUUUAACAUCCCUUUCUAUGGCAAUUUGAUCAGACAAUACUAUGGCAUGUUUUUUCAUCCUAAAAUCAGAAUUUUAUUUUCAGCCUAAAAUCUGAAAUUUUCGACAUAGUAUACUAUGUCGGUUUUUUUUUUGGACCAAAAUAUGAAUUUUUCAUUUUCCGGCUAAAAUAUUACAUUUUUAACAUCCGUUUCUAUGGCAAUUUGAUCAGACAAUACUAUGGCAUGUUUUUUCAUCCUAAAAUCUGAAUUUUAUUUUCAGCCUAAAAUCUGAAAUUUUCGACAUAGUAUACUAUGUCGUUUUUUUUCGGACCAAAAUAUGAAUUUUUCAUUUUCCGGCUAAAAUAUUACAUUUUUAACAUCCGUUUCUAUGGCAAUUUGAUCAGACAAUACUAUGGCAUGUUUUUUCAUCCUAAAAUCAGAAUUUUAUUUUCAGCCUAAAAUCUGAAAUUUUCGACAUAGUAUACUAUGUCGUUUUUUUUUCGGACCAAAAUAUGAAUUUUUCAUUUUCCGGCUAAAAUAUUACAGUUUUAACAUCCGUUUCUAUGGCAAUUUGAUCAGACAAUACUAUGGCAUGUUUUUUCAUCCUAAAAUCAGAAUUUUAUUUUCAGCCUAAAAUCUGAAAUUUUCGACAUAGUAUACUAUGUCGUUUUUUUUUUCGGACCAAAAUAUGAAUUUUUCAUUUUCCGGCUAAAAUAUUACAUUUUUAACAUCCGUUUCUAUGGCAAUUUGAUCAUACAAUACUAUGGCAUGUUUUUUCAUCCUAAAAUCUUAAUUUUAUUUUCAGCCUAAAAUCUGAAAUUUUCGACAUAGUAUACUAUGUCGUUUUUUUUCGGACCAAAAUAUGAAUUUUUCAUUUUCCGGCUAAAAUAUUACAUUUUUAACAUCCGUUUCUAUGGCAAUUUGAUCAGACAAUACUAUGGCAUGUUUUUUCAUCCUAAAAUCAGAAUUUUAUUUUCAGCCUAAAAUCUGAAAUUUUCGACAUAGUAUACUAUGUCGUUUUUUUUUCGGACCAAAAUAUGAAUUUUUCAUUUUCCGGCUAAAAUAUUACAUUUUUAACAUCUCUUUCUAUGGCAAUUUGAUCAGACAAUACUAUGGCAUGUUUUCUCAUCCUAAAAUCUGAAUUUUAUUUUCAGCCUAAAAUCUGAAAUUUUCGACAUAGUAUAAUAUACUAUGUCGUUUUUUUUUGGACCAAAAUAUGAAUUUUUCAUUUUCCGGCUAAAACAUUACAUUUUUAACCUCUGUUUCAAUGGCAAUUUGAUCAGACAAUACUAUGGCAUGUUUUUUCAUCCUAAAAUCAGAAUUUUAUUUUCAGCCUAAAAUCUGAAAUUUUCGACAUAGUAUAUACUAUGUCGUUUUUUUUCGGACCAAAAUAUGAAUUUUUCAUUUUCCAGCUAAAAUAUUACAUUUUUAACAUCCGUUUCGAUGGCAAUUUGAUCAUACAAUACUAUGGCAUGUUUUUUCAUCCUAAAAUCUGAAUUUUAUUUUCAGCCUAAAAUCUGAAAUUUUCGACAUAGUAUACUAUGUCGUUUUUUUUCGGACCAAAAUAUGAAUUUUUCAUUUUACAGCUAAAAUAUUACAUUUUUAACAUCCGUUUCUAUGGCAAUUUGAUCAGACAAUACUAUGGCAUGUUUUUUCAUCCUAAAAUCUGAAUUUUAUUUUCAGCCUAAAAUCUGAAAUCUUGACAUAGUAUACUAUGUUGUUUUUUUUUUCGGACCAAAAUAUGAAUUUUUCAUUUUUCGGCUAAAAUAUUACAGUUUUAACAUCCGUUUCUAUGGCAAUUUGAUCAGACAAUACUAUGGCAUGUUUUUUCAUCCUAAAAUCUGAAUUUUAUUUUCAGCCUAAAAUCUGAAAUUUUCGACAUAGUAUACUAUGUCGUUUUUUUUUGGACCAAAAUAUGAAUUUUUCAUUUUCCGGCUAAAACAUUACAUUUUUAACAUCCGUUUCUAUGGCAAUUUGAUCAGACAAUACUAUGGCAUGUUUUUUCAUCCUAAAAUCAGAAUUUUAUUUUCAGCCUAAAAUCUGAAAUUUUCGACAUAGUAUACUAUGUCGUUUUUUUUCGGACCAAAAUAUGAAUUUUUCAUUUUCCGGCUAAAAUAUUACAGUUUUAACAUCCGUUUCUAUGGCAAUGUGAUCAGACAAUACUAUGGCAUGUUUUUUCAUCCUAAAAUCUGAAUUUUAUUUUCAGCCUAAAAUCUGAAAUUUUCGACAUAGUAUACUAUGCUGUUUUUUUUUGGACCAAAAUAUGAAUUUUUCAUUUUCCAGCUAAAAUAUUACAUUUUUAACAUCCGUUUCUAUGGCAAUUUGAUCAGACAAUACUAUGGCAUGUUUUUUCAUCCUAAAAUCUGAAUUUUAUUUUCAGCCUAAAAUCUGAAAUUUUCGACAUAGUAUACUAUGUCGUUUUUUUUCGGACCAAAAUAUGAAUUUUUCGUUUUCCGGCUAAAAUAUUACAUUUUUAACAUCCGUUUCUAUGGCAAUGUGAUCAGACAAUACUAUGGCAUGUUUUUUCAUCCUAAAAUCAGAAUUUUAUUUUCAGCCUAAAAUCUGAAAUUUUCGACAUAGUAUACUAUGUCUUUUUUUUUUGGACCAAAAUAUGAUUUUUUCAUUUUCCGGCUAAAAUAUUACAGUUUUAACAUCCGUUUCUAUGGCAAUUUGAUCAGACAAUACUAUGGCAUGUUUUUUCAUCCUAAAAUCAGAAUUUUAUUUUCAGCCUAAAAUCUGAAAUUUUCGACAUAGUAUACUAUGUCGUUUUUUUUCGGACCAAAAUAUGAAUUUUUCAUUUUCCAGCUAAAAUAUUACAUUUUUAACAUCCGUUUCUAUGGCAAUUUGAUCAGACAAUACUAUGGCAUGUUUUUUCAUCCUAAAAUCAGAAUUUUAUUUUCAGCCUAAAAUCUGAAAUUUUCGACAUAGUAUACUAUGUCGUUUUUUUUCGGACCAAAAUAUGAAUUUUUCAUUUUCCAGCUAAAAUAUUACAUUUUUAACAUCCGUUUCGAUGGCAAUUUGAUCAGACAAUACUAUGGCAUGUUUUUUCAUCCUAAAAUCAGAAUUUUAUUUUCAGCCUAAAAUCUGAAAUUUUCGACAUAGUAUACUAUGUCGUUUUUUUUCGGACCAAAAUAUGAAUUUUUCAUUUUCCAGCUAAAAUAUUACAUUUUUAACAUCCGUUUCUAUGGCAAUGUGAUCAGACAAUACUAUGGCAUGUUUUUUCAUCCUAAAAUCAGAAUUUUAUUUUCAGCCUAAAAUCUGAAAUUUUCGACAUAGUAUACUAUGUCGUUUUUUUUUGGACCAAAAUAUGAAUUUUUCAUUUUCCGGCUAAAAUAUUACAUUUUUAACAUCCGUUUCUAUGGCAAUUUGAUCAGACAAUACUAUGGCAUGUUUUUUCAUCCUAAAAUCUGAAUUUUAUUUUCAGCCUAAAAUCUGAAAUUUUCGACAUAGUAUACUAUGUCGUUUUUUUUCGGACCAAAAUAUGAAUUUUUCAUUUUCCAGCUAAAAUAUUACAUUUUUAACAUCCGUUUCUAUGGCAAUUUGAUCAGACAAUACUAUGGCAUGUUUUUUCAUCCUAAAAUCAGAAUUUUAUUUUCAGCCUAAAAUCUGAAAUUUUCGACAUAGUAUACUAUGUCGUUUUUUUUCGGACCAAAAUAUGAAUUUUUCAUUUUCCAGCUAAAAUAUUACAUUUUUAACAUCCGUUUCUAUGGCAAUUUGAUCAGACAAUACUAUGGCAUGUUUUUUCAUCCUAAAAUCAGAAUUUUAUUUUCAGCCUAAAAUCUGAAAUUUUCGACAUAGUAUACUAUGUCGUUUUUUUUCGGACCAAAAUAUGAAUUUUUCAUUUUCCAGCUAAAAUAUUACAUUUUUAACAUCCGUUUCUAUGGCAAUUUGAUCAGACAAUACUAUGGCAUGUUUUUUCAUCCUAAAAUCAGAAUUUUAUUUUCAGCCUAAAAUCUGAAAUUUUCGACAUAGUAUACUAUGUCGUUUUUUUUCGGACCAAAAUAUGAAUUUUUCAUUUUCCAGCUAAAAUAUUACAUUUUUAACAUCCGUUUCUAUGGCAAUUUGAUCAGACAAUACUAUGGCAUGUUUUUUCAUCCUAAAAUCAGAAUUUUAUUUUCAGCCUAAAAUCUGAAAUUUUCGACAUAGUAUACUAUGUCGUUUUUUUUCGGACCAAAAUAUGAAUUUUUCAUUUUCCGGCUAAAACAUUACAUUUUUAACAUCUGUUUCAAUGGCAAUUUGAUCAUACAAUACUAUGGCAUGUUUUUUCAUCCUAAAAUCUGAAUUUCAUUGUCAGCCUAAAAUCUGAAAUUUUCGACAUAGUAUACUAUGUCGUUUUUUUUUUCGGACCAAAAUAUGAAUUUUUCAUUUUCCGGCUAAAAUAUUACAUUUUUAACAUCCGUUUCUAUGGCAAUUUGAUCAGACAAUACUAUGGCAUGUUUUUUCAUCCUAAAAUCAGAAUUUUAUUUUCAGCCUAAAAUCUGAAAUUUUCGACAUAGUAUACUAUGUUGUUUUUUUUUUCGGACCAAAAUAUGAAUUUUUCAUUUUUCGGCUAAAAUAUUACAGUUUUAACAUACGUUUCUAUGGCAAUUUGAUCAGACAAUACUAUGGCAUGUUUUCUCAUCCUAAAAUCUGAAUUUUAUUUUCAGCCUAAAAUCUGAAAUUUUCGACAUAGUAUACUAUGUCGUUUUUUUUUGGACCAAAAUAUGAAUUUUUCAUUUUCCGGCUAAAACAUUACAUUUUUAACAUCCGUUUCUAUGGCAAUUUGACCAGACAAUACUAUGGCAUGUUUUUUCAUCCUAAAAUCAGAAUUUUAUUUUCAGCCUAAAAUCUGAAAUUUUCGACAUAGUAUAUACUAUGUCGUUUUUUUUCGGACCAAAAUAUGAAUUUUUCAUUUUCCGGCUAAAAUAUUACAUUUUUAACAUCCGUUUCUAUGGCAAUGUGAUCAGACAAUACUAUGGCAAUGUUUUUUCAUCCUAAAAUCUGAAUUUUAUUUUCAGCCUAAAAUCUGAAAUUUUCGACAUAGUAUACUAUGUCGUUUUUUUUUGGACCAAAAUAUGAAUUUUUCAUUUUCCAGCUAAAAUAUUACAUUUUUAACAUCCGUUUCUAUGGCAAUUUGAUCAGACAAUACUAUGGCAUGUUUUUUCAUCCUAAAAUCUGAAUUUUAUUUUCAGCCUAAAAUCUGAAAUUUUCGACAUAGUAUACUAUGUCGUUUUUUUUUCGGACCAAAAUAUGAAUUUUUCGUUUUCCGGCUAAAAUAUUACAUUUUUAACAUCCGUUUCUAUGGCAAUGUGAUCAGACAAUACUAUGGCAUGUUUUUUCAUCCUAAAAUCAGAAUUUUAUUUUCAGCCUAAAAUCUGAAAUUUUCGACAUAGUAUACUAUGUCGUUUUUUUUUGGACCAAAAUAUGAAUUUUUCAUUUUCCGGCUAAAAUAUUACAGUUUUAACAUCUGUUUCUAUGGCAAUUUGAUCAGACAAUACUAUGGCAUGUUUUUUCAUCCUAAAAUCAGAAUUUUAUUUUCAGCCUAAAAUCUGAAAUUUUCGACAUAGUAUACUAUGUCGUUUUUUUUCGGACCAAAAUAUGAAUUUUUCAUUUUCCAGCUAAAAUAUUACAUUUUUAACAUCCGUUUCUAUGGCAAUUUGAUCAGACAAUACUAUGGCAUGUUUUUUCAUCCUAAAAUCAGAAUUUUAUUUUCAGCCUAAAAUCUGAAAUUUUCGACAUAGUAUACUAUGUCGUUUUUUUUCGGACCAAAAUAUGAAUUUUUCAUUUUCCAGCUAAAAUAUUACAUUUUUAACAUCCGUUUCUAUGGCAAUUUGAUCAGACAAUACUAUGGCAUGUUUUUUCAUCCUAAAAUCAGAAUUUUAUUUUCAGCCUAAAAUCUGAAAUUUUCGACAUAGUAUACUAUGUCGUUUUUUUUCAGAACAAAAUAUUAAUUUUUCAUUUUCCCAGCUAAAAUAUUACAUUUUUAACAUCCGUUUCUAUGGCAAUGUGAUCAGACAAUACUAUGGCAUGUUUUUUCAUCCUAAAAUCAGAAUUUUAUUUUCAGCCUAAAAUCUGAAAUUUUCGACAUAGUAUACUAUGUCGUUUUUUUUUAGGACCAAAAUAUGAAUUUUUCAUUUUCCGGCUAAAAUAUUACAUUUUUAACAUCCGUUUCUAUGGCAAUUUGAUCAGACAAUACUAUGGCAUGUUUUUUCAUCCUAAAAUCAGAAUUUUAUUUUCAGCCUAAAAUCUGAAAUUUUCGACAUAGUAUACUAUGUCGUUUUUUUUCGGACCAAAAUAUGAAUUUUUCGUUUUCCGGCUAAAAUAUUACAUUUUUAACAUCCGUUUCUAUGGCAAUGUGAUCAGACAAUACUAUGGCAUGUUUUUUCAUCCUAAAAUCUGAAAUUUAUUUUCAUUCUAAAAUCUGAAAUUUUCGACAUAGUAUACUAUGUCGUUUUUUUUUGGACCAAAAUAUGAAUUUUUCAUUUUCCGGCUAAAAUAUUACAUUUUUAACAUCCGUUUCUAUGGCAAUUUGAUCAGACAAUACUAUGGCAUGUUUUUUCAUCCUAAAAUCAGAAUUUUAUUUUCAGCCUAAAAUCUGAAAUUUUCGACAUAGUAUAUACUAUGUCGUUUUUUUUUCGGACCAAAAUAUGAAUUUUUCAUUUUCCGGCUAAAAUAUUACAUUUUUAACAUCCGUUUCUAUGGCAAUUUGAUCAGACAAUACUAUGGCAUGUUUUUUCAUCCUAAAAUCUGAAUUUUAUUUUCAGCCUAAAAUCUGAAAUUUUCGACAUAGUAUACUAUGUCGUUUUUUUUUGGACCAAAAUAUGAAUUUUUCAUUUUCCGGCUAAAAUAUUACAUUUUUAACAUCCGUUUCUAUGGCAAUUUGAUCAGACAAUACUAUGGCAUGUUUUUUCAUCCUAAAAUCAGAAUUUUAUUUUCAGCCUAAAAUCUGAAAUUUUCGACAUAGUAUACUAUGUCGUUUUUUUUUCGGACCAAAAUAUGAAUUUUUCAUUUUCCGGCUAAAAUAUUACAUUUUUAACAUCCGUUUCUAUGGCAAUCUGAUCAGACAAUACUAUGGCAUGUUUUUUUUUAUCCUAAAAUCAGAAUUUUAUUUUCAGCCUAAAAUCUGAAAUUUUCGACAUAGUAUAUACUAUGUCGUUUUUUUUUUCGGUCCAAAAUAUGAAUUUUUCAUUUUCCAGCUAAAAUAUUACAUUUUUAACAUCCGUUUCUAUGGCAAUUUGAUCAGACAAUACUAUGGCAUGUUUUUUCAUCCUAAAAUCAGAAUUUUAUUUUCAGCCUAAAAUCUGAAAUUUUCGACAUAGUAUACUAUGUCGUUUUUUUCGGACCAAAAUAUGAAUUUUUCAUUUUCCAGCUAAAAUAUUACAUUUUUAACAUCCGUUUCUAUGGCAAUUUGAUCAGACAAUACUAUGGCAUGUUUUUUCAUCCUAAAAUCAGAAUUUUAUUUUCAGCCUAAAAUCUGAAAUUUUCGACAUAGUAUACUAUGUCGUUUUUUUUUCGGACCAAAAUAUGAAUUUUUCAUUUUCCGGCUAAAAUAUUACAUUUUUAACAUCCGUUUCUAUGGCAAUUUGAUCAGACAAUACUAUGGCAUGUUUUUUCAUCCUAAAAUCUGAAUUUUAUUUUCAGCCUAAAAUCUGAAAUUUUCGACAUAGUAUACUAUGUCGGUUUUUUUUCGGACCAAAAUAUGAAUUUUUCAUUUUCCGGCUAAAAUAUUACAUUUUUAACAUCCGUUUCUAUGGCAAUUUGAUCAGACAAUACUAUGGCAUGUUUUUUCAUCCUAAAAUCAGAAUUUUAUUUUCAGCCUAAAAUCUGAAAUUUUCGACAUAGUAUACUAUGUCGUUUUUUUUCGGACCAAAAUAUGAAUUUUUCAUUUUCCGGCUAAAAUAUUACAUUUUUAACAUCCGUUUCUAUGGCAAUUUGAUCAGACAAUACUAUGGCAUGUUUUUUCAUCCUAAAAUCUGAAUUUUAUUUUCAGCCUAAAAUCUGAAAUUUUCGACAUAGUAUACUAUGUCGUUUUUUUUCGGACCAAAAUAUGAUUUUUUCAUUUUCCGGCUAAAAUAUUACAGUUUUAACAUCCGUUUCUAUGGCAAUUUGAUCAGACAAUACUAUGGCAUGUUUUUUCAUCCUAAAAUCAGAAUUUUAUUUUCAGCCUAAAAUCUGAAAUUUUCGACAUAGUAUACUAUGUCGUUUUUUUUCGGACCAAAAUAUGAAUUUUUCAUUUUCCGGCUAAAAUAUUACAGUUUUAACAUCCGUUUCUAUGGCAAUUUGAUCAGACAAUACUAUGGCAUGUUUUUUCAUCCUAAAAUCUGAAUUUUAUUUUCAGCCUAAAAUCUGAAAUUUUCGACAUAGUAUACUAUGUCGUUUUUUUUGGACCAAAAUAUGAAUUUUUCAUUUUCCAGCUAAAAUAUUACAUUUUUAACAUCCGUUUCUAUGGCAAUUUGAUCAGACAAUACUAUGGCAUGUUUUUUCAUCCUAAAAUCAGAAUUUUAUUUUCAGCCUAAAAUCUGAAAUUUUCGACAUAGUAUACUAUGUCGUUUUUUUUCGGACCAAAAUAUGAAUUUUUCAUUUUCCAGCUAAAAUAUUACAUUUUUAACAUCCGUUUCUAUGGCAAUUUGAUCAGACAAUACUAUGGCAUGUUUUUUCAUCCUAAAAUCAGAAUUUUAUUUUCAGCCUAAAAUCUGAAAUUUUCGACAUAGUAUACAAUGUCGUUUUUUUUCGGACCAAAAUAUGAAUUUUUCAUUUUCCGGCUAAAAUAUUACAUUUUUAACAUCCGUUUCUAUGGCAAUUUGAUCAGACAAUACUAUGGCAUGUUUUUUCAUCCUAAAAUCUGAAUUUUAUUUUCAGCCUAAAAUCUGAAAUUUUUUGGACAUAGUAUACUAUGUCGUUUUUUUCGGACCAAAAUAUGAAUUUUUCAUUUUCCAGCUAAAAUAUUACAUUUUUAACAUCCGUUUCUAUGGCAAUGUGAUCAGACAAUACUAUGGCAUGUUUUUUCAUCCUAAAAUCAGAAUUUUAUUUUCAGCCUAAAAUCUGAAAUUUUCGACAUAGUAUACUAUGUCGUUUUUUUUUCCGGACCAAAAUAUGAAUUUUUCAUUUUCCGGCUAAAAUAUUACAGUUUUAACAUACGUUUCUAUGGCAAUUUGAUCAGACAAUACUAUGGCAUGUUUUUUCAUCCUAAAAUCUGAAUUUUAUUUUCAGCCUAAAAUCUGAAAUUUUCGACAUAGUAUACUAUGUCGUUUUUUUUCGGACCAAAAUAUGAAUUUUUCAUUUCCGGCUAAAAUAUUACAGUUUUAAAAUCCUAUUCUAUGGCAAUUUGAUCAGACAAUUAUAUGGCAUGUUUUUUCAUCCUAAAAUCUGAAUUUUAUUUUCAGCCUAAAAUCUGAAAUUUUCGACAUAGUAUACUAUGUCGGUUUUUUUUCGGACCAAAAUAUGAAUUUUUCGUUUUCCGGCUAAAAUAUUACAUUUUUAACAUCCGUUUCUAUGGCAAUGUGAUCAGACAAUACUAUGGCAUGUUUUUUCAUCCUAAAAAUGUAAUAUUUUAGGAUGAAAAAACAUGCCAUAGUCUUGUUUGAUCAAAUUGCCAUAGAAUAGGAUGCUAAAAAUGUAAUAUUUUAGCAGGAAAAUGAAAAAUUCAUUUUGGUCCGAAAAAAAAAACGACAUAGUAUACUAUGUCGAAAAUAUCAGAUUUUAGGCUGAAAAUAAAAUUCAGAUUUUAGGAUGAAAAAAAAAAGCCGUUGUAUUGUCUGAUCAAAUUGCCAUAGAAUAGGAUGUUAAAAAUGUAAUAUUUUAGCAGGAAAAUGAAAAAUUCAUAUCUUGGUCCGAAAAAAAACGACAUAGUAUACUAUGUCGAAAAUAUCAGAUUUUAGGCUGAAAAUAAAAUUCAUAUUUUAGGAUGAAAAAACAUGCCAUAGUAUUGUCUGAUCAAAUUGCCAUAGAAUAGGAUGCUAAAAAUGUAAUAUUUUGGCAGGAAAAUGAAAAAUUCAUAUUUUGGUCCGAAAAAAAACGACAUAGUAUACUAUGUCGAAAAUAUCAGAUUUUAGGCUGAAAAUAAAAUUCAGAUUUUAGGAUGAAAAAACAUGCCAUAGUAUUGUCUGAUCAAAUUGCCAUAGAAUAGGAUUUUAAAAAUGUAAUAUUUUAGCAGGAAAAUGAAAAAUUCAUUUUGGUCCGAAAAAAACCGACAUAGUAUACUAUGUCGAAAAUUUCAGAUUUUAGGCUGGAAAAAAAAAUCAGAUUUUAGGAUGAAAAAACAUGCCAUAGUAUUGUCUGAUCAAAUUGCCAUAGAAUAGGAUGUUAGAAAUGUAAUAUUUUGGUAAGGAAAAUGAAAAAUUCAUAUCUUGGUCCGAAAAAAAACGACAUAGUAUACUAUGUCGAAAAUUUCAGAUUUUAGGCUGGAAAAAUAAUUCAGAUUUUAGGAUGAAAAAACAUGCCAUAGUAUUGUUUGAUCAAAUUGCCAUAGAAUAGGAUGUUAAAAAUGUAAUAUUUUAGCCGGAAAAUGAAAAAUUCAUAUUUUGGUCCGAAAAAAAAACGACAUAGUAUACUAUGUCCAAAAUUUCAGAUUUUAGGCUGAAAAAAAAAUUCAGAUUUUAGGAUGAAAAAAAAUGCCAUAGUAUUGUCUGAUCAAAUUGCCAUAGAAUAGGAUGUUAAAAAUGUAAUAUUUUAGCAGGAAAAUGAAAAAUUCAUAUCUUGGUCCGAAAAAAAACGACAUAGUAUACUAUGUCGAAAAUUUCAGAUUUUAGGCUGGAAAAAUAAUUCAGAUUUUAGGAUGAAAAAACAUGCCAUAGUAUUGUCUGAUCAAAUUGCCAUAGAAUAGGAUUGUAAAAAUGUAAUAUUUUGGCAGGAAAAUGAAAAAUUCAUAUUUUGGUCCAAAAAAAACGACAUAGUAUACUUUGUCGAAAAUAUCAGAUUUUAGGCUGAAAAAAAAAUUCAGAUUUUAGGAUGAAAAAACAUGCCAUAGUAUUGUCUGAUCAAAUUGCCAUAGAAUAGGAUGCUAAAAAUGUAAUAUUUUGGCAGGAAAAUGAAAAAUUCAUAUUUUGGUCCCAAAAAAAACGACAUAGUAUACUAUGUCGAAAAUAUCAGAUUUUAGGCUGAAAAUAAAAUUCAGAUUUUAGGAUGAAAAAACAUGCCAUAGUAUUGUCUGAUCAAAUUGCCAUAGAAUAGGAUUUUAAAAAUGUAAUAUUUUAGCAGGAAAAUGAAAAAUUCAUUUUGGUCCGAAAAAAACCGACAUAGUAUACUAUGUCGACAAUUUCAGAUUUUAGGCUGGAAAAAAAAAUCAGAUUUUAGGAUGAAAAAACAUGCCAUAGUAUUGUCUGAUCAAAUUGCCAUAGAAUAGGAUGUUAGAAAUGUAAUAUUUUGGUAAGGAAAAUGAAAAAUUCAUAUCUUGGUCCGAAAAAAAACGACAUAGUAUACUAUGUCGAAAAUUUCAGAUUUUAGGCUGGAAAAAUAAUUCAGAUUUUAGGAUGAAAAAACAUGCCAUAGUAUUGUUUGAUCAAAUUGCCAUAGAAUAGGAUGUUAAAAAUGUAAUAUUUUAGCCGGAAAAUGAAAAAUUCAUAUUUUGGUCCGAAAAAAAACGACAUAGUAUACUAUGUCCAAAAUUUCAGAUUUUAGGCUGAAAAAAAAUUCAGAUUUUAGGAUGAAAAAAAAUGCCAUAGUAUUGUCUGAUCAAAUUGCCAUAGAAUAGGAUGUUAAAAAUGUAAUAUUUUAGCAGGAAAAUGAAAAAUUCAUAUCUUGGUCCGAAAAAAAACGACAUAGUAUACUAUGUCGAAAAUUUCAGAUUUUAGGCUGGAAAAAUAAUUCAGAUUUUAGGAUGAAAAAACAUGCCAUAGUAUUGUCUGAUCAAAUUGCCAUAGAAUAGGAUUGUAAAAAUGUAAUAUUUUGGCAGGAAAAUGAAAAAUUCAUAUUUUGGUCCGAAAAAAAACGACAUAGUAUACUUUGUCGAAAAUAUCAGAUUUUAGGCUGAAAAAAAAAUUCAGAUUUUAGGAUGAAAAAACAUGCCAUAGUAUUGUCUGAUCAAAUUGCCAUAGAAUAGGAUGUUAGAAAUGUAAUAUUUUGGUAAGGAAAAUAAAAAAUUCAUAUCUUGGUCCGAAAAAAAACGACAUAGUAUACUAUGUCGAAAAUAUCAGAUUUUAGGCUGAAAAAAAAAAUUCAGAUUUUAGGAUUAAAAAACAUGCCAUAGUAUUGUCUGAUCAAAUUGCCAUAGAAUAGGAUGUUAGAAAUGUAAUAUUUUGGUAAGGAAAAUGAAAAAUUCAUAUCUUGGUCCGAAAAAAAAAACGACAUAGUAUACUAUGUCGAAAAUUUCAGAUUUUAGGCUGGAAAAAUAAUUCAGAUUUUAGGAUGAAAAAACAUGCUAUAGUAUUGUCUGAUCAAAUUGCCAUAGAAUAGGAUGUUAAAAAUGUAAUAUUUUGGCAGAAAAAUGAAAAAUUCAUAUUUUGGUCCGAAAAAAACCGACAUAGUAUACUAUGUCGAAAAUAUCAGAUUUUAGGCUGAAAAAAAAAUUCAGAUUUUAGGAUGAAAAAACAUGCCAUAGUAUUGUCUGAUCAAAUUGCCAUAGAAUAGGAUUUUAGAAAAGUAAUAUUUUAGCAGGAAAAUGAAAAAUUCAUUUUGGUCCGAAAAAAAACGACAUAGUAUACUAUGUCGAAAAUAUCAGAUUUUAGGCUGAAAAAAAGUUAGAUUUUAGGAUGAAAAAACAUGCCAUAGUAUUGUCUGAUCAAAUUGCCAUAGAAUAGGAUGUUAAAAAUUUAAUAUUUUAGCAGGAAAAUGAAAAAUUCAUUUUGGUCCGAAAAAAAAAACGACAUAGUAUACUAUGUCGAAAAUUUCAGAUUUUAGGCUGGAAAAAAAAAUCAGAUUUUAGGAUGAAAAAACAUGCCAUAGUAUUGUCUGAUCGAAUUGCCAUAGUAUAGGAUGUCAAAAAUGUCAUAUUUUAACAGGAAAAAAAACCAACAAAUUUUAGUUAAAAAAAAAAAACGACAUAGUAUACUAUGAUGAAAAUUCAGAUUUUCGGGUGAAAAAAUAAUUCAAAUUUUAGGAUGAAAAAACAUGCCAUACUAUUGUCUUAUCAAGAUGCCACGGUAAAAGAUGUUGAAAAAUUCAUAUUUUGGCCUGAAAAAAAAGUUUCAUAUUUUAGACUGAAAAAAAAAAGACAUAGUAUACUAUGACAAAAUUUCAGAAUUUAGAGUGAAGAAAAAAAUCAGUUUUUAGGAUGAAAAAAGACGUUAUAGUGUGGUCUGAUCAAAAUGCAAUAGUUUAGGAUGUUAAAAAAUUUCAUAUUUUAGCGGAAAAAAAAAAUCAUAUUUUAGUCCGAAAAAAAAACGACAUAGUAUACCAUGAUGAAAAUUCAGAUUUUCAGGUGAAAAAAAAAUACAAAUUUAAGGAUAAAAACACAUGCCAUAGUAUUGUCUUAUCAAGAUGCCAUGGUAAAAGAUGUUGAAAAUCUCAUAUUUUGGCCUGAAAAAAAAGUUUCAUAUUUUAGUCUGAAAAAAAAAACUACAUAGUAUACUAUGACAAAAUUUCAGAAUUUAGAGUGAAAAAAAUAUAUAGUUUUUAGUAUGAAAAAAGAUGUUAUAGUGUGGUCUGAUCAAAAUGCUAUAGUAAGGGAUGUUAAAAAAGUCAUAUUUAACCAGGAAAAAAAAAUCAUAUUUUGGUCAAAAAAAAAAAAAAAACGACAUAGUAUACUAUGACAAAAAUUUCAGAUUUUAGAAUGAAAAAAAUUAUGUUUUUAGUAUGAAAAAACAUGCCAUAGUAUUGUCUCAUCAAAAUGCCAUAGUGUAGGUUGUUAAAAAUGUUAAAUUUUAGCGGGAAUAAAAAAUCAUAUUUUGGUCUGAAAAAAAACGACAUAGUAUACUAGGAUGAAAAUUUCAGAUUUUAGGGUGAAAAAAAAAUUCACUUUUUAGGAUGAAAAAACAUGCCAUAGUAUUGUCUUCUCAAGAUGCCAUGGUAAAAGAUGUUGAAAAUGUCAUAUUUUGGCCCGAAAAAAAAGUUUCAUAUUUUAGUCUGAAAAAAAACGACAUAGUAUACUAUGACAAAAUAUCAGAUUUUUGAGUGAAAAAAAAAUUCAGUUUUAUAGGAUGAAAAAAUAUGUUAUAAUGUGGUCUGAUCAAAAUGCCAUAGUAAGGGAUGUUAAAAAAGUCAUAUUUACAUUUAUAUUCAUAGUAUAGUAUGACCAAAAUUUUAGAUGUUGGGUUGAAAAAAAAUUCAGAUUUUAGGAUAAAAAACAUCCCAUACUGUAGUUUGUUAAAAAUGUCAUAAUUUAGCGCGAAAUAAAAAAAAUUAUAUUUUAGUCCGUAAAAAAAACGUCAUAGUAUAUGUUUUAACUGUAGUCAUUUAAGUAGUUUGUUUGGUUUAUUUGUUGACUGACAGCUCUUUUUUCCUCCCCUUGUCUGCAGUGGAAAUCAGCCUUUGUGUGAAGGAUGAGCUGCAGGUGUGCGUGUGCUGCUGUUUGCUCCUGUGACAUGGUUGCUGCAUGCUGAUUGGCUGGCUGAGGACUAUUCAAACCACCUGAUGCCAUCCUCCAGCCCCCUUCUGGCCCUUGCCAUUUCCAACCACCAGUCCAUGCAGUCAAUGUGAAGUAUUUUUGCUUAGCCUUGGGAGUACAGAGAUAAUGUAAUGGUGAAUAUUUUACUUUAGGAUAUAGUGGCAGAUGUAGGAGGGAGAAGCCAUUUUGUUUUCUAUCUUGUUUUCUCCUGUUUCUUGGUUAGGAGGUUAUCUGUCAUCUUUUGUUCUACAUUCAUUAUAUUAAAGGUAGGUUAGGGUCCUUGAUUACACUGUUUUGUUUGUUGUGUUGGCAUCGCUCUUCUCUGAAGUGAAUAAAAACUGCCUUUUCUGUGAAUCUAAAAA